rnacentral:lncRNA from 1 species
GAUCUAGCAGACCUCCUCCAUUUGCUGAAAGUAAGGGAGGCGAUAGGGACCAUUAAAAGACCUGGUGAGUCACAGUGCAUAGUGAGUGCACAGCCCUAACCCACCACCCUGCUCCAGCCUAGUGCAACUGCCUGCUGGCAUGCAUUAGUAGCCAGCAGCCUGCACACUACACAGGCCUUUCAUUACUGUCACUAUGUGACCAGCAUGUGGCCAGUCAGGUCAGGAACAGACUGCCCAGGAAUGCCCAGUUGCUGUCCAGUGAGUGCAGACACCAUUCCAGGGCCCAGCCAAGCCAACAAGUUGGUGCCUGCCUAGCUAGUGGAUGCCCACCUAGCCAGUUGAUGCCCACCCAGAUAGUUGUCACCUGCAAAUAUCAGGGACCAACCACCCAGAAUUCAGCUAGCCUUCUGGUCUGCACUCAGACCAGACAGCUGGCAUAAGAAAAGCUAUUCAGUGCCCGCCAAGACCAGGGAAUAGCCACCUGCCCAGUGGCCACUCAGGCCAGCCAUCGGGCAUUUAACCACCAUGCUGUGCCCCCCAAUGCCAGGGGAUAGCCAAGACUCAGGCUAGCCAUACUGCUUCUGCUGAGAUCUGGACCAAAACUGGAACAGCCCCCUGGAUCUGGGACCAGCCGUCUGGCACCCUCAAAAACCAUGGGCCAGCCACCUGCCCAGCCAGCAGCCAUCUGACAGUCCAGUAUCAGCAGCUGAAAACAGCAAAGGUCAGUGGGAAUGCCCCUUUACUUUUAAAUAUAUUUUGAGGAACACUCCAAGCACCAUAGCCACUAAUGUUUUGAUGAGGAGGGCAAUGCAUCAGCGGCAGAACUGCUGCCGGUGCGGCUGCACUGGGGCCCACAUGCCAAGAGAGCUCAUUGGGUUGCCCAUUCAGCAAGAGCCUUCUAAUAGCAUAGUAUCCUCAGUGGUCUUUUCAGUGCUGCGGCCCUUAAAUAGUGUGAACGGGCAGCUGUCAUUAUCUCAGUGCUGGGAGGAAGUAUGUGUGUAUCUGCAUGUGUGGAAGUGUGUGCCUGUGUAUUUAUCUGUGUGUCUGUAUGUGUGUAUCAGUGUGUCUGUGUGUGUCACCCUGUGUAUGUGUGUGUGCAUUUGUAGAUGCAUGGUUGUGCGUGUGUGUAUCUGUGCGUCUGUGUAUCUGUGUUAGUGUGUAUGUCUGUAUUUGCAUGGUGCAUCAAGUACUAUAAGAGGGGACAUAAAUAAUUCUUGCACCAGCGCCCUGUCUUCUUAAGUUCCACCACUGCAAUGCAUUGAAAAAAAUGGAUUAGAUUAAAUUAGCCCCUCUCUCUCUCUCCUUGAAAACAUUUGUAUAUUUCUUAUUUUGAGUGUAGUGUGUUUUUUUUUUCUUCUUGACAUUGUAAAAGUAACUCAAAAGCUUUUUACAGUGUAUACAAUAGGGUAAUGGCAGCAUGACACAAAAGGAAGUUUCUGUGCAUGGUUACUAUAGAAAAACUAAAGGCUGUAUUGGCAUUAAGCCGAUUGCUUGGAAAAACUGUUAAUAAAAAAGCAUUUUACUGUUUCCAAGACCGGUAUAGUCACCCAAAUGGUGAGGUGGUCUGGGUGCAGUGGUCCUGUCAUCUGAACCCUGCAAUAUAAAAAUAUUGCUUUUUAUUUUUGGAACCUUCAAUGUUUACAUUGCCGGGUUAAAUCCACAUCUAGUGGCUGUCUUCCUAAUAGCCACUAAAUGCACUUCAGCUGCACUGACUGGGUAAAACUUCCACGUAAUGUGGAAGCUUAUAGGAAAGCAUUGGAAAGGUGAGCAGCACCGAGGGAGUGUUACAGCUGGAAGGUAAGUAAAAAGCGUUAUUUUAUUAAAUCUAUUGGAAAAGGGGAGGGGGGACAGAUAUAUAUCCAGAAACAGGGGCACUAUGUUAUAGGUUUGUAUUCCAAAAGCUAUAGUGUUCUUUUAAAACACUUUAAAUUAAACCAAGGGUUUUUAAUUGUAAGCUGGCAGUUCUUUAAGCAACAAAACCUCUUUUUCGAUUAUCUCAUGUUAACCAAACCUGGCAGAGUUCCUCUCCUGAGAUUGGACUCUCAACUGCAAGACUUGUACCAGGGCUCCAACCAGGUUUGCCCCCUCUUCAUGGAAUGCCCUUCUAUGGGACACCUGAUUUUUUUUUUCCUCUUGACUCCUACUAUCUUCCUCUGCUGUUUCCCAUCUUCUGUUUUCUCUCCUCCCAAACACCACUCCCAUCGUCGGGUACGUUCAGAUCACUUGAUUCCCUCAUUUCCCUUUUUGUAUUUGUCCCUCAUCCCUUUAGAUUGUAAGGGCCAUCUUCACCUACUAUUCUUGUAUGUCAUACAUGUUUUAUUAGAAUUAAAUGUUUAUCUUGUUUACCCAUUGUACAGCACUGUGGAAUAUCUUGGCACUAAAUAAAUAAUUGUAAUUAUAAUUUUUAUAUUACUGUACAUCAUUUUGAUAAAUUUUCUGAAAUACAACAUGUGCUAUGUUUUACAAGCCAACAAGCAACAAGUACGCAUCAUUUGUUAUUUCAAUAAAUAAUCAAUACAUUAACAAAAACAUUGAAUUGUAAAAAUUGCUAAUGUACUUAUUGUGCUAAUAACCUAUGGUCUUUAUAACAUAAAGGAUAGAAAGGUUAAUACAAGUGGGGGAAGCUUAUCCUCAAGUGGCAUAGCACAAUUGCUGACAAAUUGAUGUUAUGUUGACUUCGGAGAGGUGCAAAGAAAUUUCUAACCACAAUGCUGUCUCCUGCGGUGUAGGAGGUAUUGUUCCAAAUUUCUGCUUACAGCAAGAUAAUGAUUACAAAUCACACAGCUGGAAAAAACUCUGCAAAAUAAGGAGACAUAUGGAGUCUUUUAAUGCAUCAAAUGGCUCUCUGAAAGCUCAAAUGUCAAUAGUAUUUUAGUUGCAUGGCAGUAGGAGACUAUUUGGACUGAAAAACAAAGAAUGACAUCAACAGAAGAUAAUCUAUUGAAUAUCCUGAAAUGAUUCUGGAGCUCUAUUCCUUAGCAAAACUGAAAGGUUAUCUAUAAUAGGCAUAGGAAAACACUGGGGUAGAUUGAAGACAAUUUUUUUCAAUGUGCUAUAUAAAAAAUGUAAUACCAUUAUGCAUGAAACUUAAUACAUAUAUAAAUGGUUCACCUCUGAAUUUCUCACUUUGCCAGUUUUCUGAGGCUCUUGGUGAUGUGUCAAUUAAAAAUGACUUAGAAAUCUUGAUCAGUCCAUGUUAAGAAGUUGGAACCAGUUUAAGAAUAAGGGAAUAUGUGUGUCUCUGUAGUACCAGCCAUAGACACUUACACUUUGUGUCAUCUAUGUCUGUAAAAAACAAUUACAGGGAAGUAGGGCUAAGGGACACAAGUGUUAGUUAUUUAUGCUGUAACUAUGUACCUGUAUUUGGCAUAAUAAUAAAAAAAAGGUAUUUCAUUCUGAAAAUGGUUGACUACUCUGCAUACCAAAGCCGUUUGAGAAUGAAAUUCUUUGCAAAUCACGUCAGUGCAGUAUUUCAGUAAGACUCAUUACAAUGGAGAUACAAUAUCUUGCGUUGCAUAAAUGGGACAGUUUAGGUUGCUUUUAAUGCAAAAGGCAAAGCAACAGACUAUCUCUACCCAUAAACUACCAGUUGAUCAACAUCUCCAAAAAGUUUUGAAAUAAACAUUACUUUUUUACCAAGAAAAAAAAAGGAUUGGAAGGCCAAACAAUUAUUCAUAUGUAUUAUUAAAACUAAUUAAGAAAAUCAUUUACCGGUAAUAAAAUCUAGCCAGUAUAACUACUUCUUAUCCUAACUAUUACCCUCACUUUAAUUUCAUUGCUAACCAGAUAGUACCCUCAUCCGCCAAUCAUAUCAGCCACAGCCCCAGCCUCAGCCCCAGAAUGCUCUCAUUCCUCAAGCAUAUCAAUCGGAUCCACAUAGGGCCAUCAAACUCCCAAUUAUAUACAUUUCAAAUAGAUAUUGUCCUCAAUAUUGUCCUAAAUCCCCAGUCAUAUCAAUCCCAGAAAGAAGAAAAGAAAGGUUAGCGCUAAUAAUAACUGUAUAUAAAAAAAAUAAAGGCAGCGGCCUUAUAGAGGGUCAUCCUCUAACCCUCUACAGUAGGAAUAUAUACAAAAACAGAGAAUAAGGCUGCGCCAAGAAAAUAGUUAAAACAAGUCCAAAUAAAAUGAUUUCAAAUAAAAUGUUCUAAUAAGAGAGUCCCAAUAAUAGGUGGUGUUUCAACUGGUAUGGUGUCUUCCUUAGCAGUGGUCGUCCGUCUCACGAUAUGAAAGACACAAUGGGAGAGAGCCAAUUGUGCAGAGUGUAUAAAUAAAUAAUAUUUGAAUAAAAUAUAAAUUACACACUCACAUUGCCAUGAGCUAGGACCAGCUCAGGUAUGAUGGGCAUACGGCAGAUAACCCUCCGCUUGUAGGGGUGCUUGUCCUCCUGGAGCGUCCUGGUGUCCAAAUUCUCAGGGAAAGAAAAUAAAAACAGCCAAUAGUGCUCUCUGGUGAGGUAGUUUGUAGAGAGGAUAAAAAAUAAAUAAAAUAUACUCACAAGUGGAGUGCAGGUCAAUCUGCACUCUGAUAUUCGCGUGGGUGGUAUAAUCCCCACCUUAGGAUAUGCCAGGAACAAUAAAUGAGGUUAAAAGUAAUAAUAAUUAUAAAAUUAUUUAUUAGUACAAUGUUUUAAAACCAAUAACGCGUUUCGCCUUAGAGGCUUUAUCAAAUUGGAAUAGUAUAGAUACCUGGCACAUUAGGAGUAUAUAUAGCUAGUACAAACAUUUAAAAUUGGCGCCAAAAAAUUGAUCAACCAAUAGAAAUGAUACAAAAUAUAAAUAAAAAAUAUACAUACAAAAGGUAAAAAAUGAUAUAAAUUAUAGAUGUUUAUAAACAUAGGAUGAUAUGUAUAUAUAAAUAUAUAAAAAACGAGCAUUAUAUUGUGUGGGAAUAGAAUAAAAAUAAAACUUUCGGUUUCGUGCGAGUCACGUGACCCGCAAUGCACCUUGGGGCAUGUAGUGCCGGGUCACGUGACCGCCGAUAUACAUAUACACAGUCCGUGCGUCCGCAACUGAAGAAAACGGCACGCACGGACUGGGGAGCAGGAGGGCGGGUUCGGACCUUGUCACAUGACCCGCGGCGUCAUGAAUCAAUAAUACCCGCGGGCCAGGUGACUAUAACCGCGAGGAACACUGGGAAGUGUAGUUUAAAACAGCAAAAUGAAUAGAAUUAGAAGAUAACAUAUAAUGGAAAAUAAUCAGGUAUAAAACAAAUCAGUAUGUAAUUAGAACAGGCAUAUUAAAAUAUAUAGAGUAUAUGUCAAAUAAACAUACAUAAAUUUAGUACAUAUAAAAGGUGGAUACAAGUCAAAUAGGGGGGGCAUAGAAUAAUAAAUCGAAUAAUAAAUCAAAAAUAGCAAUAGAAAUAAAUAUAAAAUAUAUAUAUCUCUACCCAUAAACUACCAGUUGAUCAACAUCUCCAAAAAGUUUUGAAAUAAACAUUACUUUUUUACCAAGAAAAAAAAAGGAUUGGAAGGCCAAACAAUUAUUCAUAUGUAUUAUUAAAACUAAUUAAGAAAAUCAUUUACCGGUAAUAAAAUCUAGCCAGUAUAACUACUUCUUAUCCUAACUAUUACCCUCACUUUAAUUUCAUUGCUAACCAGAUAGUACCCUCAUCCGCCAAUCAUAUCAGCCACAGCCCCAGCCUCAGCCCCAGAAUGCUCUCAUUCCUCAAGCAUAUCAAUCGGAUCCACAUAGGGCCAUCAAACUCCCAAUUAUAUACAUUUCAAAUAGAUAUUGUCCUAAAUCCCCAGUCAUAUCAAUCCCAACCUCAUAGUUCCCUGUGCCCAAAGUUAAAUCAAUCAUGUAAUAUUCUCAUCAUCUUAGUCAUAUCAAUGCCACACAUACACUGUCCUUAGCCCCCAAAAUCUCUUAGCUCCCGAAUCAUAUCAGCCCUACACAGGUAGUGCCAUCAUACACCAUUUGUCAUAUAAAUACAAGGCACUGCCUGCUCUGUGAAUGAGAUGCAGCCAUCCCAAAUACCCAGUGUUUCAGAUGAACAAUUAUUAUUUUAGGGUCCUAUCUCACCAUCCUAAUUUGUAGGCUCACACUUACUUUCAGUAGGUGCCCCUGCAUCUUUCCAGGUGGGCCUGCCCAUUGAUUACUAUGGGUUUCUACUAUGGGUUACCUGUCAACUAGGUCCAUCUUUGCAUACCUCCCAAUGUUAUGUUGGCAAGUAUGGAAAUGGAGCCAGAGAGGGUGGAAGCAGGACUGUGACAUCAUAAAAACCCUAUAUUCUCACUAACUACAAGGCCUGUAGCAUAGAGAGCAGGCAUAGAGCUGGUGUGACUGUUAUUGUAUAUGAAGUUGGGAGAGACUGUUACUGCUGAUUCACAGACCUGGGCCUUGGAAAAGCUUUGAUCUGCUGUCCCUCAGACUUCCAGUCUGUGCGACGAUAUGUUAUAUAUCAUAUAUAAUAUUGCCUAGCAAGCUGUUGUAUUUAUUUGGUCACAAGGCUUACUUUACCUAAUGCUUGGGCCACAUCUGGCAGCAAUAUUAUUCAGAAGUCUUGGCUUGAAAACCCAAUGUAUAUACUAAUGCAAUGCCAGCAGUAGCCAAAAACAGUGCUUAUAUUUCAUAGUCUGUUUACUCUGAAAUGAUCUUAUGACACAAAAGUAAGUUUAUUCACAUGAAAUCUCUCUGCUUUUAGGUCUGCAUUUUGCAUACCCAUCAUUGCCAUUCUGUUGAACAAACUUACCACAUAUUAAGAAUUUUAAGAUAAGCAUAUUGUGACAAACUGAACCUUGUCACGUGUUCUUGGAGGGGCCUGCUGGCCAGCCUCUUACCAAAAGACUAUGGGCCCUUUAAAAAACUAUGUAAACAGACUUUGUUCGUGGGAUUUUAGAUUUGGUUUAGGAACGGACAGCCGCACGAACCGGAGACCACACUGGAGCUUGUUAAGCCUAACUGCUUCUUUGUAGCAAUUUCCACUGCAGUGUUCUAAGUGUUCGUCUGGGUGGGCGCAAUUCCUAUGGACGACCACGAGGUGGCGGCCACCUAGUUCCCGCAAACACAGGCAGCGGUGUAUGGGCAUGAAUCUCAUGGAAGUGAAAACGGACACAGAAACUCCCGAAUAUCGCUGGACUUCGGUUCUACAACACAUAGAAAGGCACUGUUCAGUGGAAGCAUUCCCAUGGACAAGGGGAUCAAGCUCCAGGGUAAGACUAUUGACUCUGUUCGGUAGUUUGUUCAUUUUUUUUAAACUACCAAACUAGACCAACUGCAAGCCCUGAUUCUCUGGAACUGUUUUGGGCAUGGGACCAUGUGGGCGGGCGGUCAAAUUAUGACUUCCAGGAAAUUCCUGAACCCCUAAACGGAUUUGGGCUAUCAGGGGAUGUACCUUUUGUGGGGAUUUUGUGUGUUUUAAGGUAUUUUGGGGAGUUUGUAAAAAUGUGUGUUUUUGUGCCUGGAGAUAAUUGAGUUUAAUACAGUGUUUGACUCAAUUAUCUCCCAGGCAUAGGGCAGGGAAUGACCUAUUUUGUAUGAACGUUUCCUGGACCUGAGAGCCAAUGUAAUUGUGUAUAUGUUUUUAGUGUAGUCUACUCUCAGGUCCAGGGGGGAUUGCCCCUUGCAUGGGGACCUGCAUAUAAGGCCAGUUGUGGCUGCCAUUAAACAGAUUAGUUUUAUCCUUCAUGAAGUCUAGGCUCAUGUUUGGGGUAGUUGGAGAGUUAUGGUGGUUAUGGUCUUCUAGUGCAGUGCUUUUGGUGCUUGCAAGUACUAGGAAGCAGCGAUUGACGGAGGUACCCAGUUGGGGUGCCAGGCGGUCCGUCACACAUAUUUCAAUAACGCACCACACACUUUGGAAAAUGGAGUGAGUCAUCAUUAAAACCUCUUUUUUUAUUUCAUAGGUGGCUGUUUUUCCCAGAAUGCAAAACAUUGGAAUCCUGCUUUUCAAAAUCACAUUUCAAUACUACAGACUUGGCCAACAUAUGGCCCCUGAGCUGCUUGCGGCCCAACAAAGUAUUUUGUGUGGUCCGGACACUGAGGGGGUGCAUUGGGUGGUUCAUGCACUUAGGGCCACUUGGUGGGCAUUUAUCAGCAGUCGGAUGCUGUGGCCCUUUAGCAUUUUGAACAGUAUGUGUAUCGUAUGUCUGUCUGUCAGUGUGUGUGUGUAUCUAUAUGUCUGUAUGUGUUUCUGUCAGAGUGUGUGUAUCUGUAUGUCAGAGUGUGUCUGUAUGUCUAUCAUUGUGUGUGUAUCUGAAUGUCUGUCAGUGUGUUUUCUGUAUUUUUAUAUGUAAUAUAAGUACACUUACUCUUAACCCAAUCAAGGAUAAGUAAUAACUAGGAUAAAAGAUGUGCUGAUGUGAUUUGAGCCCAUCCCAAUUUGGCUCUACCCCAUGUGUGUAUAUCUUACUCUUACUGCAUAUAGUACUUUGUAAAUUAUAUCUCUUUUAUCCUAGUUAUUACUUAUCCUUGAUUGGGUUAAGAGUAAGUGUACUUUUAUAUUCUUACAAAUAUAGCGCUCCACUGUUUUUACUGGAGUUUACAUCACUCAGUUCACUUUGUAUUUUUUACACACAGUAACUGACAGACAGACAGAUAUAUAGACACACAAUCACUGAUAGACAAGCUCACUCACUGAUUUGACACACACUGAAAGAUAAACACACACUUACAGUCACACACACUCACUGACAAACACACGCAUUCAUUGACAGACAGACACACACAUUCUCUGAUGCACUCGCAAAUUAUUGUUAUAUGUUUUAGUUUAAUUCAGAUCCAUGCAGCCUCUCUACCUUUGGAAGUGCUGCAAUGGAUCCUUUCCCUGGGGUCCAGUGCAGCUGCUGUGAUACUGUAAUCUUUAAGAUCUUCUUGCUCUGCUCCUUUGCUGCCUACAGGGUGUGCAAAGGAGCAGAGAAGGAGAGCAGGAAGAUCUUGCUGCACACUUCCAUUCUGCACAAUCACCCACUCUGAGGGGCAAUAAGGUAGCAAGUGCUGAACGGGCUGACAAAUCCCAGGCACCAGGACAAAGUUCCUAGUCGCCUUAGUGACUUUGCCCCUGUAAUUUGUCAAGCUCUGUAUUACUAUAUUUAUAAACUGAAGCUCAAUGAUUGGCCAUUUGUUGCACUUUUUUUUCCUUUUGAUUAGGUUUCCGAAUAAGAAUCUCAUUACCGAAAUUCUGCCGCGUUGAAUCGAAAUUGUGCUGAAAUUUGAGUGCCCAGGAAAAUGUUCUCUUUGGAAGGAAUGGUAUAGCAAACUUGAGUUUUCUUACCAUGUACAAGUCUAUUAUAUACUGUAUAUUCUUAAACUGAAUGUGAAAAUUUAAGCUUUAUUAAUGUUAAGGAUAAAUGCAAUUAUAAGAUCACAAAAUAUUUUCAUUUAUUUACAGUCACCAUAAAUGUUUUUAUUUCAUUGCAUACGAACGUAUUUGACUAACUAGUUUAGUAAGUAGGUAUAUGCUAGGAUUUGUAAGAAUAUAAGUAUAUAUUUGUAUAUUUCAGACAAAAGUAAAAAACAAAUGUAAAAAAAUAGCUUAGCAGUAGAUUAAUAAAUGUAUACAUACUGUAUACCCUCACACACGUAUGAUAAACCUACUAUCAUACUCUCAUUAUAUAUCACUGAGGCCCUCUGUUAGGUAGUAUGCCCAUGAGAACUAAGUUCUUAUAUUGCAGAAGUUUAAACUCAUGAUGUAAUUACUCUUUAAUCCAUUGCAAAGAUCUGCAAUUAGUCACUCAUUAUAGAGUCAAUUCUGAUUAUCACAGGGGAUUCAGAAGCGAGUGACCAUACAUUAAACUGCAAGGAUUAAAACAGCAUUAUCUAAUCCAGUUAAUAGAAUUAUAACUAAAUUAAUGCUUAAUAGAACUUGUGGAUAUGAUUUAACACAACAAUUAUACCAUUAUUUAGGUCCAUGAAUUAUAUUGACAGGGCCCCAGGGCAUACUAAGUGGGUAUGACCUUCACAUAUCUCAUUACUACACUUCAUCCCGGUAUAUUACUUGGUAGCUUGUAAUAGAACCUGCAUCUGAUAAUUAGUCUUACAUAGUCACAAUUUUGACUGAAUUAAAUUACUGUUCAAUAAAAAAAUGUUCUUUUAAGAUGUUGCCUUUAGAUAUAUUUUAUUAGUAUUGACAUGAUUUAUUCAGUUUUUUCUUUAGUAUUGAUAUUUUCUCAAAUAUACAGGCUUUGCAAUUUCUUAAUACACACAGGACUCUUUGCAAAAUCCAAUUUCAGUGGUAUGCCUACAUACGGGGGGUGUUAUUAUCUCAGUCUAAAAUAGACAUAAGGAAAUCAGCAUAGAGUUCUGUAUGACAUAAUAAGAAGAGUGUUCCAAACUGGUGUUUUAAUAAUGAUCACUGACCACUCUGCAAAUGAGUUAUUGUGCAGCACUAACAAGUUGAUUAACUUGAAGAGUUAAAUAUAGUACAAUAUUUAUUAUGUGGUAUCAUUGCCUCACAUAAUAUGAGUCGUGCCUCUUAUUACAUUCAACUCUGGAAAGAUUCCACUCCAGUUACUGUCAGAUGUAAAGGCACAAAUUAUUAAAGUUCUUUUCAUUUUUUGGCAAAUUUGACAAAAUGGAGAGUGGAUAUCAUGCUGAUUAACAUUCUGACAAUUAAUAAUCUAAUAUACUUCACUGUCAUAAAAAGUUGGCAGCUACUUCUUGGAACAUAAGAGGUUUUGUAUAAAAAGUUAAUCUAAGCCAAAGUUCUAGAAGUGGAGCAGUCUCUAUGACAUUGGCAGCCAGCAUUCAGCACUCACGAUGUUGUGGACUACAUCUCCUAUAAUGCUCUUACAGACAUAAUUCUGGAAAACAUAUAUCACAUAUUGUUCACUGUAACAAUGCAUACGGGUUUAUCAGAAACAGGAAGAAUAAAUGAAAGCUGUAUAACCUUCUUUAGUUUCAAAGUGACAUUUAUCGAUCCUAGAAACCAUGCCCACUUUGGACAGUGGUGGUAUAAAAUGUCAGUCCACAACUGUAGAAAGUGUACUGGCUUUCAUUUAUUAUUCCUGACUAAUAAAAACUGCGAACAGUUUUGUUAAUUUGGUCUGUAUUAGUAUAUAGGUAUGCACAAGUUAUUUAAUGACCAUAAUACCCCUUAAGAAAGGUCAGAAGCCAAACGAUUGGGUUGUAUUUUCGGUUUCCAAGAUAGCACUUUAGUUAUGACCAGUUGUCUGGUUAUGCAAGUAUAUUUUUGAACUCUUAAUAGUUACUUUACCUGCGUGCCAGAGAAGGAAAAUAUUCAAUUAGCCCUUAUCUGAAUGCAGAUAUUUGUAUUUAGAUGCUUCUGUUUUAUUUGAUUUUCAAUUUAAUGUGUUUUUUUUUUAUUUUGCUAAAUAUACAAAUAUAUUAUAUUAAAUAUAUUAAACAAAUUCAGAAUUUGUAGUCUUUAGUGUGCAUUGGUAUCCAUACUAUAUUAAUUUGAGUUCUUCCCUAUAUUGUCCAUGAGUUAUUUUAAUGAAAUCCUGUUUAGACAGUACUAGACUUUAUGGGGUCAUCCUUUUGCUCAUCCCUAUACCUGUUGUCCACAUGCUGCUGUUGUUUUAAAAUGUACUUCUUUAGACAUAAAAUCUUUGAAAAACAGUUGAGGAGCGGUGGGAACGAAGGUAGUAUAGGAAGUCGAGCUCAGUGAAAAUUCACUGUAUUGCUCUCAUUUAACAGGCCACAAAAUUAAUAAAAAAAACUAACUCUGGAAAAAUGUUUGUUUAAUUUUAACAUUCUAACUUUUUCAAAACAGUUUGAGAGUACACAUUCCCUGAUCCAAUUAAUGUCUUUUUGAGAUAUUAGAUUAACAAACUAUUUCUCCUUAACAAAACUUAUACUACUUAAUGAAAAUGUGCCCUUUUUGCAUUUUUUGCCUGUGUUUCUAAACUUGCGUUGUUACAAAAUACUUCGUACAUGGCUUUUAAAGCCAUCUGGAAAAUGCUGGUAACAGUUGUAAUAUAAAAUGUGAAUGCUCUCAACAGGGCCAGACUUUGGGUAGAACAUUGCCCUGGACAAAUUUUUGCACAGUAGCAAAGCAAAAUUAGAUAAACCCCACUAAAAAUAGAAUGGAGGUGAUGAUAGAAGGUUCCUAAAUUGUUCCUAUGUCUAAGUCCCCCUGUACCCAUUAUAGGUGCAGGUUUUUUUAUAAUGUAUUUGUAUAUUAUUAAUUGUUUUGUGUGAUUUUUGUCCUGCUGAUGCUUGUUACCAACUAGUGGAUUUGGCUAUGGAGCCUUUAAAGCCCCCUUUGUUGAUAGCAACAGCAAUAUGCACCACCUUAAUACCAAGGCUGGUUAAUUUGGAUAUUCAAGUAGAUUUGCAUAUUGCUAAUUCUACAGGCAGGCAUGAUAUUUUGUGUUGGUUAUUGACUUCUCCACCCAUUUGUAGAUGUGUUAUUGUGUUAUUAUAAUUCCCUGCAUGUUUUCUGACAUGUUUUAUUUUUAAAUUUAUUGAAUUGUCACCACAAGUUACAUGUAAGAAGUAUUUGGGCCAGUCCCAAGAAAAAAAAAUUAAGUUUUGUAUGUUAGUUUUAUUUGGAUCCCAGCCCCAUAGUUGUUGUGUCUGUUGGCUGGCUGCAUGAUUCCUCUAGCCCUGGGAUAAAUAAAAAAAGAGAGCUAGGCCUGAGAGCCACAAGUGCCUUUGAAAAGACAAUAGAAAUCACGUUGCAAGCAGAGGUGAUUACCUGCCUGGAAGAAAGACUGCAGCAAAAUAGGCAGAGGGGACAAUAACUGCCUGGAAUAAGGGCUGCAGAGAAAUAGGCAGAGGGACUAUACCUGCAUGGAAGAAGGGCUGCAGCGGAAUAGGCAAAGGGGACGAUACCUACCUGGAAGGAGAACUCCAUCCUGGUUGUUUCAGAGAACCCCAGUCAAGCCAUGGGUGACCACGGCAGUUUUCCCCAGUUCUGGCUAGAAAGCAAUCCUGGGCGGAGAUACCCAGCCAGGAUACAGGGAGCUCUGCUACAGGUACAAUAUAUAUAAAUCUCUACAUAAACCAGUAGGUAAUGUUUCAAAUUACAUGACCUCAAAAAAAGAGAAAAAUAGACAAACAACAAUGCAAAAUGUAUAUGCAGUAUAAAAAUAGAAUCAGAGUGUAUAGAGGAUUUUUUCCAAUUUUUAUACUGCAUAUACAUUUUGCACUAUAUGGCUAAGAAAGACUGUUUUAGGCUUUAUACAUUUAAAUUAUUGGAAUUCACAUUGAAACUCAAAUUAAUUCUUGCAAUAUUAUUUUCUUCUUUCUUUUUGGUAAUGUUUUUCUUAGUUACCAUUUAUUAGCUCUCAUCAUACUCUGUAAAUAUGUUUGUGCUAUAUAAUUCUAUUUAGCAAAUAGUUACAAACACAAACUUGUUAUAUGCACAUUGGCAAAACAAAAUAUGGUUUUCUGUCAGCAGAUAUCAUUCUUUUUUUUUUUUCUCUUCUGAAAUAACAUACAGGAGAAGCACAAUUUAAUCAACCCGUAGCUCACACACUGACAUAACAAUAAAGAAUAAAGUAUAGUUCUAGCUGAAACUUGGCUGUACAAAACAGAAACAUAUUUUAUCUAUGGAAAACAUUGAGCUCUGCCGUUAUUGGUGGAAAUCAAAGUAUAUUGUAAAUGUUUUCAAAUUGCACUAUGUGCCAAUUUAAAAAAAAAAAAAAAAACCCAAAUGAUCAUUCUUAAUUAUUAGCUCGGGUGUAUUUCAAAUAAUAUAGAAUAGUACUAUCAGAAAUAUCCAUAAAACUCAUUAUUACACCUAUCACGUGAUACCUCUAGCUUCUCAUUUUAAUAAACACAUCUAUUCCUUAUGUUGACUAUUCAUACAUGUACACUAUAUGGUCAAACAUAUGUGGACAGCCCUACUAAUUAUUGAGUUCAGGUGAUUCAAUCACACGUUGCUGACAGGUACAUAAAAUUUAGAACAUGAAAAUUCCAUAGGCAACAUUGGCAAUAUAAUAGGUCGCACUAAGGAGCUCCAUGCCUGUAUUUAUAGCAGUUGCAAACAAUCGAAGAUCCAAGCAAUGACACUUCUUUUUUUCAAAGGUGCAAAAUUUUUAAUGGAAACCACAAGCAGUAAUAGCAACAUUUCAGCCCGUGAUGGUUAAAACUUUGUCACUUACUGCUUGCGGUUUCCUUUUAAAAUUCUGCGCGUGUGAUAAAAAAGAAGUGUCAAUUGGAUCUUUGAUUGUAUGCAAUUGAUUUCUUGGGAUAUGCCAACCCUGGAAUCAGAAUCAUCUACCCCUUCAUUGUGGGUACAACUUGAGAGCCAUUGGUGCAGUCCCUACUUAUUGUUUUAAGCAUGACAUUGUCAUACUAUGCCACCUCGGUCACAAGUCAAUUGUCAAGUAGAAGUGUUUGGAAGCGACAACAGCUCAGUCAUGUAGUGGUAGUCCACAUAUACAAACAGAGCAGCAGUGUUGCGUGUUGAAGUGCAUAUAAUGUAAAAAUCAUCUAUGAUCUCUAGCAUCACUCACUGCAGACUUCUUAAAUGACUAUGGAAGAAACAACAGCACAAGAACUGUGUGUUAGGAGCUUCAUGAAAUUGGUUUCUAUGGCUGAGCAGCUGUACACAAGCCUAUAUUAAGGAUUGUGCUACUGUAUUUAGGAUUUUCUGUGUAUUCUAUGGGUCUUUAGUUUUGUGACGUACAAUGUACGUGUACACAGAACACUACUUUUGAUAUUUUAUUAGGAUAUAUGUGGUAGACAUGCAAUUUUUUUCGUUCCAAAUGUAAAUUCAGAUGAAUUUUGGCAAUUCAAACAUUUGGAUGCUUCGGUUUUCGGAAGUGCCGAAUUUUGGAAGUACCGAAGUGCUUCGGAUUUCUGAAAGUAGCAAAACAAGAGAGGGAGGGAAAAUUACAUGAAUGAUGACAGAAAUUUAACCCUACCCUUAACCCUAACUAUACCCCUAGAUGUGUAUGUGGUUGUGGUGGUUAGGGGUAGGGCUAGGGUUAGGGUUAGGGAAUUGCCAAAGUUCUGAAUUGCCAAAGUGCCAAACUGCCAAUGUCCCAAAUUUCGGAAGUGCCGAACUGAACCAAAUAUUUUGCCCAUGCACAUCCCUAAUAUGGGGCAUUAUUGUAAAAAAGAAUAGUAUUUAUGUAUGCAUGAAACACUUAAAAGGGGUGUAUUCCCUAAAUACCAAAUCGCAAACACUGUUAUAUAUAGCCUUAAGGUGCCUUCCCUUAGAAUAUUGGGGGGUUGAUCCAGGACCCCUUCUCUUGGAUGCCGGCCUCCAUAUCAGUAAUGAAGAUUGGAUUCCAAGCAUCAUAAUAAAACUAAAUGCUUCCUGCUACUCCACCAAAAAGAGGGGGUUGUCUAUAUUGGUGGGGAGGGAGGUAUCCUUCUCCUUCAUACGUAAAAUAGGUGAUAAAAAAGGGCACUAUCUUCUGGUAAAAUGUCUUAUUAACAAUAAUCCGUAUACGUUGAUUAAUGUGUAUGGGCCAAAUGGCAACCAACAUGAGUUUUUAUUGAAUGUUUUUGCUUUAGUUAAACUGUACAGCUAUGGGGAGGUCAUCAUUAGAGGCAACAUUAAUUAUUUGACUAGACAUCUUCCUAGAUUCCUCUGCUGAUAAAACAGAUUCCUCCCGCGCACCCUACUGAAAAGGACUACACGUGCCAUACCCCCACACACAACAGUUACUCCAGAAUAGACAGCCAAGAUGGAAGAUGCUCAGAUUGACCUUAUAUCAUGGUCUGACCAUGUUCGAAUUACAUUAACUCUUAAAGAACAAUUCCCCUGCCAAUGACCCUUCCAUUAUUUUUCACAACAUUAUUUUCAGGACAAAAAAAACCAGAUUCUCUAAUAGACCAAAUUUGGUUGGCACAUAAGGUAUUUAUUCAAUGGAGUUUCAUUACACAUGAUAGCCAUGCAAAGAAAGUUCAUCAAGUGAGAUACACCUCCCUAAUUCGAGAACUCACUGACCUCACACACCUGAAUAAACACACACCUAUCCCAACUGCUUACGCCAGACUACUUGACUUCCAAACACAACUCGAAGACACGGAGCUGUUCAAAACUAUCUUUUUACUCUGAAAGGCCAAAUACAAAUAUUUUGUCUCUGGAAAUAGAGCAGGGGCUCAGUUAGCCUCUCAACUAAAACCGAACUUUAUCGCCUCCAGGAUUGCUUUCCUUGAGCUUGCUAGCGGAAAAAAGGUAUUAGACCCGCAAGCAAUUGUAAAUGAAUUCGCACACUACUAUAGUAAACUCUACAACCUAUGCAAAAGGAUAUUGACAACUUCUUAGCAGACAUAGCUCUCCCACAACUUUCCAAUGCCGACUUUGACUCUCCCCGACAGCCUUUCUCACUUGAUGAAAUAACUAAGAUGAUAGCUCAAUUGCCAGCUCACAAAACACCAGGGCCGGAUGGUCUCUCCAACAAAUACUAUCGAUCUUUCUCCAACAUCCUUGCACCUCACCUUCUAUCAAUGUUCAAUCACUGUGCUAGAGUGGGGACCCUACCUGACGAAAUGUUGCUGGCGCAUAUUUUUACUCUCCCUAAACUAGGUAAACCCUCGACCCAAUGCAAGAAUUUCAGACCGAUUUCCCUACUUAAUGGAGAUGCCAAGCUAUAUGCUAAACCAGGGGUAGGCAACCUUUGGCACUCCAGAUGUUGUGGACUACAUCCCCCAUAAUGCUUUUACACCCAUAAUGCUGGAAAAGCACCAUGGGAGGUAUAGUCCAAAACAUCUGGAGUGCCGAAGGUUGCCUAUACCUGCGCUAAACUAUUAUGUUCUUAUACGCGGCUCUGGCUGCAAAAGUUUACCAGAGAGAUUUUCUCUCUGAAACCUUCUCCAUUACCAAUGGGACCCUCCAGGGCUUAGACCUCUUACACACUUUCAGAGAUGUUUCACAUUAUCGCCUCAACCAGGACAAAAUGCAGGCACUCCCCAUUAACCUACCCCCACACAUAAUCCCACUAUGCCAAUUGUACCACUUUGAUUGGAGAACCACAUUGCUUACCUACAUGGGCGUAAAAAUUGCUUCCUCCAUCCAAACUACUACAAUGCUUAAAUAUUCCCUCUUACAAAAUAUGUGCACUGGGGCAACUUCUAAAUGGAAACAUCUUCACUCUUAUGGCUAGGCAGGGUAAAUGCGUAUAAAAUGAUGCUACUUCCCCGCAUCCUCUAUGUGUUUAGGAUGCUACCACUCUCAAUCCCCUCAAGCACACUGCACGUCCCUACAAUCUAUUUGUAACUCCUUAAUUUGGAAUGUCAAAAAGCCCCGUGUCCCCUUUGCCCUCUUACAACGAUCUCCUUAGCUGGGUUACGUAGGCCUACCUAACUUAUGGCUGUACAAUAAAGCUGCACUCCUGACUGCAAGAAUACUUUUACACGCACCAGUAGAUACACUACAGUGGGUAGGCAUGGAGACAGCCCAAUUUCAAACAACUGGCUAGCGGAAUAUAUGUGGACACCUAAACCCCUUUGGGCAGGACCACUCGAGCUGCUGCCCACGACUCUCCUAAUCAUAAAAGUUUGUGAAGAACAUCGAUGGGCUAUGAGAUGAAAUUUCAUACCAAGUUCCCCAGACAUUCCUCUGGCAGACUGGCAGUCAUCAGGCGCCACCCAGAUAAAAUACCUAACAAACAAUCUAGGCAUCCUACCGUUUCCAACCCUGCAAAGGACCUGGCCAUCCCUAACUACACCAUAUUCUCAUACUUACAACUUAAAAGUGUAAUCUCCGCAAAAGUCAUCCUCCACCCAUCCACACCCACCUCUUCACAGCUCUUAUUAGCAAUAUGUUGGUCAAGUCCCACUAAACCAAAGACAUUAUCCCUAUGUUACAAAGCAUGGCAAAACACUUUACAACACCAAGCCCCCAACUGCAGAACCCAAUGGGAAAUACUGAUUGGCUAUCCGCACUUAACGGCAUAUCAAAAUGGACAAAAUGUUACUCAUACAUAGAGGCGCACAAAAAGAUCCUCUAUAGGCGGUACAUGACCCCAUUUAGGCUGCACAAAAUGUUCCCAGUAGUGUUGCCCUGUUUUUGGAGAUGUGCCUCGUGGAGGGGUCCCUGUUCCACAUGUGGUGGACCUGUAGUGUGAUACGCCCACUCUGGGAUGAUGUUAGCUGUAUAUUGAAUGCAAUAGACAUCACUAACUUCUCCAUGACGGUCCACUCUUGUCUACUUCUCCUACUCCCACCCACCAUAGAAACAGGUGACUGCUUUAAUCAUAAUGGCAGCCCGUAACCUCAUUGCCUCCAACUGGAAAUCUACCAAGUGCCCAUCCCUUUCUCAACUCUGAGAUAAAACACAACAAUACCACACUUCUGAACACAUGUGCGUGUCCUCUGGUAGAGACACUGGUGUUCACUGAAGCAUGGAAGGCUUGGGACAAUAACUUUGACUUGGACUCCAUGUGGGCCAGCUGCUAGGUCCCCUAGACCGACAGGGAUGACAAAUCAUUCACACUUGGACCGCCUCCCUACUCAGGCACUCUAUGUCCCUCUCAAGUUUCACGUUUGGAAAUGUCCGAAAUUGCUUUGGAUUGAUGGACCUACUCGGGGUUACUUAUACCUACAAGCAACCUGUGAGCAAACUAGAUUGAGAUACAUUCACUGUACACACAUGACUGUACCACAAUACAUAGAGUGUAUCUGUACCGUUUUACCAACAUACUGUUAUACCUGCUUUGUAACAAUUGUAUGACAAGUUUCAGAUUAUAUGAAAACCUCAAUAAAAACGAAGUUGGAAAAAAAAAGCACUAAAUGCUUUAUUGCAUACAGCAAAUAUAAAUCAAUCAGAAAUAGAAUUAAAAAAUAAAAAUGGCUAUAGGUCCUACGUAUUUCGUCCUGUAUCUAGGACUUCUUCAGGGACCAAUAAUAAAAGCAAUGAUAAAAUAACACAAGUCAAAGUAGCAGUAUGCAGAAUCCCUUCACCAGGUAAAAAGCAGCAUAAAGCCUUCCUCCAUGGUCCUUUUAUUUAUAUGGCAAGUCUCUCUUCUCAUUGGUGGCUCCAUAGGUGUUCCCCAUCUUCUACAGCUGGACACAAUCUUCUGAAACUAGAUUUUCCUGGGUCUGCAUAUAUUAGGCAAAUUUAUCCAGAUGUGGUGGGCUCUCCUAUAUUGCUGUUACAACCAUAAUGCUAGCAAAGCAUCAGGGGAGUGCCAAAGGUUGCCUACCCCUGUAUGUGAAUAACAAUAUUUAGGCAAAAUGUGCCAACUUGACUAUUUUAGUCUACAAUGUGUCUUUUGGGUUUCAGUUCACCCCAAUUUGGUAUUUAGUGAAAAAACACUUUAUAGUUCUCUUAAACAGAUUACUAAACAUUGACUGUAUGGCUUCUAACAAUAAAAUGCUACCUGUGUCAGUAUCCUGUAAAUAUAUCUCUUUGCAAUACCUAUUUAAACAUUGAGAUGGACUUUCAAUAAAAGAACAACCCAAUAAUUUGAGUUUGCAGGAAAUAUAUAACAAUGGCUCCAUCUUUUAAUUAUUUAAGAGUGAAACUGGUCUCCUGCAACAAGCUAUCACAGCACAUUGUUUAGACAUAGAGCAAUAUACUCUCUAAUAUAGAGUCUCCUUAGUGACCAUUUACAAAAAUGAAUUGCUUUUAAUAUUUAAAGUUUUAUGGUAGCUACACCAUGGGAGGCAUGAAAUGUAAAAGCACACUGAAUUAGCAUAUAAAAAUUCAAUAUUUGUGUUGUAAAUUUCAUGACCACAUCUAAAAGCUGAUAUGUCUGUCAAGGUUGGUAUCAACAAACCCCCCACCGCGCUCCCCCACACGCCCAAAGAAACAACAACAAAAAAAAUCCUCUUGAAAUAUUUAUGAAUAUAUAUUAUUUUGUCUAAUGUCAUGUUACAAAUAAUAUGCUUAGGAUAAGGUCUGGAUUUACAUGUUAGUGAAAAGUAAAAUACAAUUUAAGAUUUGAAGAGGAUUAGGAGGAGCACAAGUUAGAGUAGAUGCUAAUGAGAUAUUAGCAUCCAAGAGGAAGGGGAGACAUUAAACAAAAGUACAAGUGGAAUCCAGAUUUACAGAAUUUUGAGGUGCAUAUUUCCCUUUUAAAUAUAGUUCUUUAUUCUUCAUGUAGUUUGCUAUUCAUUUUUUUUUUUUUUUUUUAAAUCAAAGGCUAAAUCUAAAAUCUACUCAUUACAAAGAGAUAUAUAAUCUCUCUAGAUGAGUGAAAUAUGAGGACAAUAGAGAACAUCUUGGAACUUUGCAAUGAAAGGUAUGAAAAUAAUGAACUUAGAACAUCAAAAGCAAGGUAUUUGUCUGUAGUUAUGAAUAACUCAAUAGGUUAAAUUGUUUGUUGAAGCCAUAAGUAAGGACUUAGUGAAGUGCAUCUAUAGAUGAUAGUCUCAGAUAACCUCUGUGGGCCCAUUUUAAAUCUGUCUCGCACAUAAACUCAUGAUCAAACCAUUUGAUGAUAGCUGGAGACAAGGGUUUUAAAAAGAGAAUUACAUAUGGGAGAAUGGAGAUAGAACACAAGCAUCCGAUGCAUUAUAAUAAGUAAAAAAACUACCUGGAUAGAAAGUUUAACUCUGCAUUGGAUCUUGAAAGCUUCUAUUUUAUCAUACAAAUAAUACAUAUUAAGGUUUCUAUGCAGUUAGGGUCUUCCACAUUGCGUCCAUGUGUGCAUUGUUGCAGAAUGUAAAUUAUUAUAUUGAUAUACAUUGAAGGGUCAUGUUGUUAAUGCUGUAGCAUCUUAAAUAAAACAUAACAGCUAGGUUGAUCUGACUUCAAAAAUGUUUUUGCCAGGGAAAAAGGAAAAGUGCAGUCAGAAAUUCUGAGAUUCUAAUAAAAAGAAAAGUAAAGGUUGCAGACAAGAGCAUAUCAACGACUUCCUACUUAAAAUCACCUAUCCCAUGCUUUCUUAAUGAUGUGUAACACCACUGAACUCUGAGUUAUCAGAUGCAUUUUUGUCAAUUCAAAAAGACAAACUGCUUGUUUGGUUGGAUUGUGAGAAUUGUGCUUUAAUACUACCACAUAAUUGUAGGCAGAAUCACAUAAUAUUUCACAAAGAUCUGAAGAUCCACUUCCCCCCACCCGCAAAUAAAAGUUCUGGUUAGUUGUGCUUAAAUUUUGUAACUUGUUUGUCAAUUCAGGACAACUUCAUAUUUAAUAAAUAAGGUUCAACAUGAUAUGAUAUACAGAAUAAGGCGAAAGUCAAAAUGUCAGAUGUCAGGAUCAGAAACCCCCAAAAUACCUGUAAGCUUAAUGUUAAAUUAAUCCCACUGCUACCAUUUUGUAAGAGAUCAACGGGUAUAUUUUUUCACUUAUAUUACCCUACAGGCAUUAGUGCUUUACUUUUGACUUUCCAUGUCAUAGCAAUUAAUGCAGAGUUAGCGAAAAACAGUCACCCAGAUGCCCUUAGAUUACUGCUAUGACAAUAAGGUAGUAGAAACUAUGAAUUCAGUUGACGGUGGAUCAAGCUUAGAUCAUGUGAUACAGUGUAGCAGACAUGUUUGCAUGUGUUCUAGAGAAAAGUAUUUUGUUCUCAAAAAGAUGUUUUGUUUACAUACAGAGCCUUCUGAUUAUAAUUAUCGAUGCGCUAGUACAUUUUUCACCAAUUAUAUUAAGAAUGGUGAAAAAACAUUAGCAGUGUAAAUUAAUUGCAACAUAAUAAACUUUGAUUUAUUAUGAGAUGGGGAAGAUGAGGAAGAAUUUAUUAAUGCCAUGAAAAUGUUAAAACACAUUUUAGAGCUAAUAAUAUAUCAGUUCUGAUGCAGAUCUUCGAAGAUCUUAGGUAAUUAUAACAACAGAGGUCCUCACAGGAGCAGUUUCUGAGAAUGAAUAUUCAUUAACAGCCUCCUCAAAUUGAGCAGUGAUCUUAUUUUAUGUGUUAUUAAGAGAGGCAUGCCGAUACAUUUCUUUAUUGGUUUUGCAUUGAAUACCAUUCAUGCAAAAUAGUAUGGAUAGUAUACUAAAUUAGUCUUGUGAACUCAGAAGGCAAAUGAUAAUAAAAGAUAGCCGUCAUAAGCUUGUUUGGAAGUCGAUGUAUGAAAUUAUGCAUUUUGUAUUCUGAUAUUUAUUUUACAUUACACAAGAUACAUUCCUCCGCAUCCCGCAUUCCUCCUCAUUGUUUUGUUGCUAUAAUAUAAUCUUUUACAUGUUACGUUGCAUAAAACAUAUAUUGGAUAAUGGAUAUGAUCCAACAAAUAAAACUCAUUUGCUGUCAAUUUGUACAUUUGUCUAUAUUUUGGCAGUAUGAUACCAUCGGUUUGUAUUCUCGAAAUAAUCAUAUUAAUGCAGACUUAAAGGGUACAAUGGCAGAAUAAAAAGAAAGCUAAGAGUAUGAUGCAACUGCGUGUAAGUGUUCUAUUCUAAAAUGUCCAGAAGAUGUGUAUCACUCUUUCUUCUGAUCUAAUACAGAAUACAUUAAUAUGGAGUAGUGACCUUUGGAUUUAGCUGCGAUUAGGUCAUUAGUGACUUUGAUGAGAGCAGUCUCAGUAGAGUGGAGAGGGCGGAAGCCAGACUGAAGAGGGUCAAGGAGAGAGUUGGAAUUGAGGAAGCAAGACACACGGGUAAAGACAAGUCUUUCCAAAAGCUUUGAUGAGAAAGGGAGCAGGGAUAUUGGACGAUAGUUAGAGGGGAAGGAUGGGUCAAGAGAUGUUUUUUUCAGGAUAGGUACUACAGUGGCAUGUUUAAGGUCAGCAGGAACAGUGCCAGAAGAGAGAGAGCAGUUAAAGAUGUGUGUUAGGGUAGGCACAAGACAAGGGGAGAGAGAUCAGAUGAGGUGGGAUAGGACAGGAUCGAGCGGGCAAGUGGUGGGGAGAGAGGAAUGGAGAAGCGCAGCCACCUCUUGUUCAGUAGCCGGGGAGAAAGUCUGAAGGGUAGGGAAGGCAUGAUUUAUGUGUGGUUGAGAAAGAGAACGGCAAGGAGGGGAGAAUUGUUUCCAUAGCUGUUCAAUCUUGUUGGUAAAGUAGCAUGAAAUUGCCCUUCAAAUUUGAGCCUUCUAGAGUGGAGUUUCAAUGAAUGUCAAUGGACGGCGUGAGUUGCAAACAAAUGGUCAUAUAGUGAAAACUAUCAGAACUAUGACUUAGCCGUGGACAUUUUUAGUGGCAGCAGGGAUAGCUGAACGUUUUGAUAUAAGAUUUGUGUAGGUGGACUUGAAAAUGAGGGAGUGGUGACAGUUUAGAAAUCAUGUAGUGAUUUUUCAGCUUUUGCCAGCUCCCACUCUAGUUUUGAACAUUUUGCCAUUCAUUCCUAUGGGACCAAUUUCGCCACAAAAAUGACGAUAUUCCGUGAACCAUUCGGCGAAACGUUCCACAAAGUAAUAGCACACCAAUCGGGAACAAUCCACACGUUUCGGUAUAUUAAUCUUUAUGUAGUGUAAAAACUGUGGGAGGAGUUAGGGUGGUAAAUUUGACUAUAAUAAGAAUAAGAAUAAUAUAUAUGUGAGAUAACAUUAAGCGGUACCCCCUAUAUAUAGGUUUUAUGGUGUUUUGGAAAAGUUACAGGGUCAAAUAUAGCAUGUUACACUUUUCAGUUUUUUCACAUUGAAAUUCGCCAGAUUGGUUACGUUGCCUUUGAGACUGUAUGGUAGCCCAGGAAUGAGAAUUACCCCCAUGAUGACAUACCAUUUGCAAUAGUAGACAACCCAAGGUAUUGCAAAUGGGGUAUGUCCAGUCUUUUUUAGUAGCCACUUGGUCACAAACACUAGCCAAAGUUAACGUUAAUAUUUGUUUGUGUGUGAAAAAUGCAAAAAACUAAUUUGAACGCCAAUUUUGGUGUUUGUGACUAAGUGGCUACUAAAAAGACUGAACAUACCCCAUUUGCAAUACCUUGGGUUGUCUACUUUUGCAAAUGGUAUGCCAUCAUAGGGGUAAUUUUAUUCCUGGGCUACCAUACGGUCUCAAAGGCAACGUAACCAAUCUGGCGAAUUUCAAUGUGAAAAAACUGAAACGCAAGCCUUAUAUUUGACUCUGUAACUUUUGAAAACACCAUAAAACCUGUACAUGAGGGGUACUGUUAUACUCAGAAGACUUUGCGGAACACAAAUAUUUGUGUUUCAAAACAGUAAAAAGUAUUACAGCAAUAAUAUCGUCAGUGUAAGUGCCGUUUAUGUGUGAAGAAUGAAAAAAAGUCACUUUUACUGACGAUAUCAUAGUUGUAAUACAUUUUACGGUUUUGAAACACAAAAUUAUUUUGAUUUAUAUAUAGGUAUACAUAUAGUGAUAUAUACAUAUAUAUUUAUGUAUAUCGAUAUAUAUAUAUUAUUUCGUUCUACGUGUAUUUUGAUAUCAGGCUGUCACUGCGAUCAGAGCGCUCUGAGAUCACAGUGACCUCCUGUCACUGCGAUCUCAGACAGUGCAGAUCGCAGUCACUGACCCCAGGGCGACUGCCUGGGGGGCCAGGUAUUUUCCCCGACCGCGAUCUUCACAGGGGAAAGCCACCGGCCACGUGUGUCAGCCGAUUUGAAAUUGGCUGACACACAGUAAAUACUGAUUGCAGUGACAGCCUGUCACUGUGAUCAGAGACUGCAGAUUGCAGUCACCGGCCACACGGGGGGUUGCCUGGGGGACCAGGCAUCCCCCCCAACCGCGAUCUGCAGCGGGCGAUUAGCGCCAGCCACGUGGGCGGCCAUUAAAGCGAGGGUGUACUAUUAUGCCGCCGGCGUUUAGAGCCAGCUCCUGCAGGGUGUAAUAAUACGCCCUCCGCAUUUAAGGGGUUAAAUGUGCUAUAUAAAUAAAUAAUAGUUACUCCGCCCACUCCAGUUGUAGACUACUGGUGGAGGCAAGAACACUUAACACAAUUUUCCCAGAAAUUGUAGCUUUUCUAGUUAAGUGUUCUUGCAUAGCAAGACCACUUAAUGUUAUCUCACAUAUAUAUUAUUCUUAUUCUUAUUAUAGCCAAAUUUACCACCCUAACUCCUACCACAGUUUUUACACUACAUAGACAGUAAUAUACCGAAAUGUGCGGAUUGUUCCCGAUCGGAUUGCUAUUACUUUGUGGAACGUUUCGCCGAAUGGUUCACGGAAUAUCAUCGUUCUUGUAGCGAAAUUGGUCCCAUAGGAAUGAAUGGCAAAAUGUUCAAAACUAGAGUGGGGGCUGGCAAAAGCUGGAAAAUCAGGACAUGAUUUCUAAACUGCCACCACUCCCUCAUUUUCAAGCCCACCUACACAAAUAUUUGUAUCAAAACGUUCAGCUAUCCCUGCUGCCACAAAAAAUGUCCAUGGCUAAGCCAUAGUCCUGAUAGUUUUCACAAUAUGACCAUUUGUUUGCAACUCAUGCCGUCCAUUGACAUUCAUUGAAACUCCACUCUAGCCAGCUCAAAUUUGAAGGGCAAUUUCUAAACUACGACUAUGCCUUCAUUGUUAAUAUCUCAGAGACAUACUAUGCAUCAAAAUGUAGGUAUGGAUCUUGUGAUUCUCACAAUAUAAAGCUCUUCACUGUAGGAUGUAUAGUUUUUAAAAUACGACCGUUUGAAGAUGGCAACCGCCAAAAUACUCUGACCUGUGCCAGGCUGAAGCAGCAAGUGAUGUCAUAGACAGGGCCUUUUGUACACCUGCUAAUGUUUUUAUAAAUGUAUGUUUUAAUGUAACUGUGAAGCACUUUGGGCAACAACGUUGCAAUUAAAUGUGCUAUAUAAAUAAAUAACAACAGUUACUCUGCCCACUCCAGUUGUAGACUACUGGUGGAGGCAAGAACACUUCACACAAUUUCCCCAGAAAUUAUUAUAUAAUAUCAUUAUGCCUCCAACUCAAAAGUCCCUCUGGUUCACUCUGAGUGACUGCAACUGGAGGUGUUCCUAGCUUUCAAUGUAAACACUGUAUUUUCUUAGAAAAUACAGUGUUUACAUGACAAAGGCUACAGGGAGCUAUAGUUCUCACCUGAACAACCUCAUUACGCUGAAGUUGGUCAGGUGACUAUAGUGUCCCUUUAAUAAUGAAAUCACUGUUCAGGCCUGGUUGUAAGAUGUUUUCUGACUUCAAAGGAGUUACUGGCAAAAACAUGGUUUAUAGGACAAUAGAUUUAGGAUUGUGGUUGUUUUGAAAACUAUCACAUGAAACCUGAUAAAAGUCAUAAAUUGUUAUUGAUUUGUUAAGAUGGGUGAGCAUAAAAAGUUAAGACAAAGAAAAGUUACCUGUGCUCUGGCCCAAAUCCCUAUGUACAUUUAAACAAAAUGGAGGCUCUUUAGUUUCAUUUCAAUGGGCAUUUGAAUAUAAGCUCACCUGCCACGUCAAGGCAAGCCUCAAAAGGCGAGUCCUGAACCAGCCAUUAGAUUUGCUGAUAUCAGCCCAGAAUCUCGAAUAAGACAGGAAGGGGUAUUUUAUAAACAUUUUCACAUUUUACCCUUUAUAGGGAUUCUACACAUACAAUAAUGUACACAGGGAUUUGGGCCAAAGCACAGGUAACUUUCGCUUUGUUUUAACUAUGUAUUUUGAGCUGUUAGAUACUAAGCCUCUGCUGCUGUAAGUGUGGUGCUUUAUUUUGUGUUUGUAUAAAAAGUUAAGGUUUUAUAAAAUAACAUCUUCAAAUUCAUUCACCUUAGUUGCAAACACUAUACAAUUAAGGUGUACAACUUUAAGUCCUGUGGUACAAUCAGGUUCCUCAGGUUCAAAAUGAAUAAUAUUGUGUCAUACUUACCAAGACAGAUAUUAUUUUACUAUACACAGUUUUUCACUAAACCACCAAUUGUUUGUGCUGAUCAUGUAAUUUCAUAUUGUAGGCAUAAUAGUAGAUGUGGAAAGAAAUCUCUUACUUGCCGUUUUCUUGUUCAGCUAUUUUGACUUGAAAUUUGAAUUUCACUGCUCAAUAUCUGGCAUUUCACAUUUUAAUGAAAACUCUGUCUAUGUUUUCAGUGAAAUGCAAAUUUAAAUCAACACUGUUCCAAUUAUAAUUAUAGUAGGGAGCGUCAUAUGUAAAGCCUGCACUGCUAUUUAACCCCUUAACGACUGGACUGUUUUUGCGAUGUUGUACAUUUGCGACCAGGCCUCUUUUUACACUUUUGUGGUGUUUGUGUUUAGCUGUAAUUUACCGCUCUCUCACUUACUGUUCCUAUACAAAUUAUAUAUUGUUUUUUUUCAGGACAAAAGGGGCUUUCUUUACAUGCCAUUAUUUAUAUAAUCUCAUGUAAUUUCAUUUUAAAAAAAUAAAAAAAUAUGAUGGAAAAUUGAAAAAAAUACAUGUUUUUUUACUUGAAAAAUCUUUUACUCAUCAACAAAAGCGAAUGAAAAAAACUGCUAAAUAGAUUCAAAAUUUUGUCCUGAGUUUAAAAAUACCCAGUGUUUACAUGCUUUUUUGCUUUUUUUUUGCAAGUUAUAGGGCUAUAGGUACAAGUAGGAUAUUGCGGUUUCAAAACAUUAAUUUUUAAAACUUAUCAAUAGUCACAUUGUAACACUAUUAUCUGUCAUAAAUCUCUGAAUAACACCCCACAUGUACAUUUUUUUUUUAAAGUGGACAACCCAGGGUAUUCAAUAUCGGGUAUAUCCAGUCUUUUUUAGUAGCCACUUAGUCGAAAACACAGGCCAAAGUUAGCAUUCAUAUUUGUUUGUGUGUGAAAAAAGUAAAAAACUAAAUUGAACGCUAAUUUUGGCCAGUGUUUGUGACCAAGUGGUUACUAAAAAAGACUGGACAUACCCCAUUUGCAAUACUUUAUUUUGUCUUCUUUUGCAAAUGGUAUGCCAUCAUGGGGGUAAUUCUCAUUCAUGGGCUACCAUACACUCUCAAAGGCAACGUAACCAACCUGGCCUUUUUCAAUGUAAAAAUAUUUGACCCAUAUAUUUGACCCUGUAACUUUCCAAAACGCUGUAAAACCUGUACAUGGGGGAUACUGUUAUACUCGGGAGACUUUGCUGAACACAAAUAUUAGUGUUUCAAAACAGGAAAACGUAUCACAACAAUUAUAUCAUCAAUUAAAAGUGCUGUUUGUAUGUGAAAAAUGCAACAACAAAAAAAUUAACCCUGACAAUAUCAUCGCUGUGAUAUGUUUUACUGUUUUGAAUCACUAAUAUUUGUGUUCAGCGAAGUCUCCUGAGUAAAACAGUACCCCCCAUGUACAGGUUUUAGGGUGUCAUAGAAAAUAUAGUGCUAGCAAAUUAAAUUCUCUGGACUUUCGGCCUGGGUUGGCAGGCAGGUGCCUCAAAUUGCAAUCAAUAAAAUUACUUAAUUAUGUAAAAAUAUUACAUAAAUACGCACGUAGAAUUUAAAUAUAUAUGCAUAUUUAUAUAUUUGAAGUCUACGUGUAUAUUUAUAUAAUUAUUUAUGUAGUUUUGUAUAUGGACAUAUGUAUAUUUCGUAUUAUUUUUAUUUAUACAUAGAUAUAUAUAUAUAUAUAUAUAUAUAUAUAUAAUUAAAUUCUAAGUGUAUUUUGAUAGUAAUAUAUAUAUUUUACUAUCAAAAUACAUAUAUAUAUAUAUAUUACUAUCAAAAUACAGUUAGAAUAAAAUUUCAUAUAGAUAUAUAUAUAUUUAAAUUGUUAUUAUUUUUACAUGUUUUUAUUUAAUUUAAAUUACUUAUUUGUAUUUUAUAAUAAUAUUUAUAUACAAUAUAUAUAGUUAUUAAAUAUAUUAUAUAUAUACAUGUGUAAUUUGAUUAUAAGUAUAUUUUUAUAUUAAUAUAUGUACAUAUUAAUAUAUAAAUACACUUAGUAUGACAUUAUAUAUAUGAUAUAUAGACAUAUAUAAAUAUAAUAUAUGUCUAUAUAUCAUAUAUUGGAAGGCGGGGCCUGAAGUUGUGGGAGGGACUAUGUCCCUUUAAAAGGGACUCCCCCUCCUACCUAACUUACCUACUGGACCAGACGUACUUCUGGGCGGUGCUGUUACUUCCGGGUUUUCCAGCGUGCAGCAACUUCUCAAAUCAGUCGUGUCAGCUCGACCGAUCAGACUGCCGUCUUUCAUCCAACCGUGAGUUCACAGACGGGAAAUUAGUACACCGUCUGUGUUAUAUAGCGGGCAAUCAGCCCGAUCAGAGGCAUUCCGCACAUACCACAGACCCCUCACGGACUCUCCACAUGUCACAGGGGUCUGCGGUAUUCACUAACAGAGGGCCCCCUUUCGGAACCGCUUCAUUACAAGCCGCACGGCGGCUCAGCAAUCUUCAUUAGUGCUUGGGGGUUGGGGGUUACCGGCACUGGUCACGGAGCUGGGUAGGCUCACACCAUACAAUCGGGUCACGCCCGUGCAACAGAUACAGUUCCCCCCAAUUACUCUGCUGACCUCUGUUCCACGGAGAGGGAAGGGAGCCUAAUUCAUAUAGGAACACCACUCUUAUCAAUCUCAGCCACAUACCAUAUCCAGCAAUGUACAUAAUAUGUUUAUAUAUUAUACAGUCAGCAACUCAGAGGGCUGCAAGCACAUAGACUACAAGUUGCACAUAUAAUGGGUCAUUACUAGUUAUUAAUAAUUGCUACAAUGAAUGUAUGUACUAAUGUAUAUAAUUGUCACAUUAUUUAACAUACUCCUGUAGGUAGGGGCAUUCAGGUGGAGACACCUGGUGGUCAAGUUACAGAACUACAAUCACCACUAGGUGGCCUGAAUAAGUUAUCGGCUGUUCAGCGAUUACUGUAUAUAGUGUCUGUAAUUGCUUGGCAUGUUGGUAAGUUAGCUAUGUCUUAAAUCUUUAGGUCUCCCUGUAAGAUACUAGUGCACGCUCAGCACAAUUUCAUUAACACCCCCCCACCUACCACGGACUCACCAGGGGCACGGAUGGUAGUAUUAUCCCUGGAGGAUAUAACGGCACACUACGCCAACACUACCGCCACUACCCGUCACCAGGGGUUGUUUUCUGGCCGAUGGGCACUCGUUACCAUAGCAGCGGUCCUACACGGAAGACAGCAGUCUAACUCCUGUCACAAGUAUAAGCUCACCUACGCACUACCAGCCUCAUCAGUCAGGCAUUCAGAAGGUCAUAAACUAACACGGUGCCACACUCAGCACUCCCAGCCACCACAAGGCCACGUUACAAUGAUGCAUAAUAACCUUGACAGUGGCACAACGCUCCAACACAGGGAUAUACAAUUAUGUUAGAAUGGUUAAUUAUAUUAUAUAGUACAGUAAUUAUUUGGCAUAUUCAUAUUGAAGUAAGCUACAACAGUACUUUUGAUAAUUUGAGAGUUGUUCCUCGGCGCUGUUGUGUUGCUGCUUUUGCCAAUAUUUUUGUCAUAUUUUGUCAUACAUGUCUACUUUCAUGGUUAUAGACCUAGUUACAAAGCAAGAAGAGUUCUGCUUUUAACGGGUACGGGUACUUUGUAUCAAGGACAAGUUCUCAAGUCAAGCAUAUGUAUGCUGGGUACAACGGUACCGAGCAGACAUUCACUAUACUACUAUAACUCAUUCUGACAUAUGUUACAGACUCAAUAUGCCAAGCUUAGACUUGGAAACAUGGAAUGUGACGGCAGAUGAGAACCAUUCAUCUAGUCUGCCCAAUUUUCUAAAUACUUUCAUUAGUCCUGGCCUUAUCUUAUAGUUAGGAUAGCCUUAUGCCUAUCCAAAGCAUGCUUAACCCCUUACGGACCAAGCUUCUGGAAUAAAAGGGAAUCAUGACGUGUCACACACGUCAUGGGUCCUUAAGGGGUUAAACUACGUUACUGUGUUAACCUCUACCACUUCAGCUGGAAAGCUACUCCAUGCAUCCUCUACCCUAGACAAAUCCUACAGUAUAUGUGACAUUCCAGAACAAUCCUUACGUCAUACAAGGUAUUGGUAUGUGACCAUAGCGUACGCAAACAAUAUGAUCGUGGAGGAUUUUAAGCAGCGACGUGUCACUACGAACUCGUAUGUACCCAAUGCCUUCUAUUCUGUCAUCCUUAAUCUGGUUUAGGCCUCCCCUUAGCAAAAUCUCAGACUACUGAAGAACACAGAGCAUACAUUGUUCACAUGGGUACGUUGCUCCCUGUUCCUUAUACACUGAUUUAAUAUAAAUCGAGGCGAGUUUGGUAUGGCCACCUAGGUAUGUCUCCCAGGCACCUCAUGCCUUAGUGAUAGAGGUCCUGCGAGGCCAUCACCCAUCCUCCACGAAAGAGGUAACAACGCCCCACGGGCCAAAUUCAUAGCUAAACGCCUCGCAUAUUGCAUAGCAAGGGAAUCACUCGUCACACCCCCUCCGCAGAUCAAAGACUCAUCCCUUGUAAGCCCACAUCCAGCAGAUCAACCCCUCGCGCCAACCAUAGGUAGAAUCGACCAGCCGCUUGGCAACAAGUAGGGACUCACCGGUCACCAGUCUAACUAAUUGUUUCGCCACUUUGGCACUAAUUACAACAUCUGUAUACACCCUCAGGAGCAACUCAUGAUUCCUACAUAUAUAUUUCAGUAUGUCCCAAGUUCCAGAAGAAGGAGAUGACAUUUCUAUUCCAAGUACGCCAACUAGGACUGCCGUCCCUACACAAAGAGGGGACACCGGCAGUUCAUCUUCCAUUAGAUCAUGGACUAUCAUACGAAUCACGGCCGAAUUACGCAGGGCAGCACACCCUUGACAACUACUGCCUGCAAAGCAGAACUAUUCAGGCAAAACGAGCCAAUACUAACACAUCAGACACGGGGGAAGGCACAAGGGGCACAAGCAAUGCCACCUGCAUACCAGGUUUGCCUCUAGAGUAACAUCCAUGGGACAGAUGAACAAUAGACUAGAAACACGGGAAGCCCGUAGCUGUCCAGUCGCGACACAAAAACCACUUGCAACAGAUAUUCCGGACCCUUCCCAUUCACAAAACGGUAAUUCUAAUUCGCCCAUUAUCUUAGGGCCAAGUCAUUACUCCAACCAUAUGGGCUGACAAACCUCAUGAAGGACAUCCUGGUGGGCAAGGACGUUGAUCUCGUCUCGCUUCUCAUUGCCUCCCAGGAUGUCACAGCAUACAGCUCUUGCCCCUAGGGCAAUAUCUCCGUGGUCCUUAAGACCAGAGACACUAGACUGGAAAUGAUUCAUCAGUAUAGUCAUUACCUUCUUGGUCUUGGGGCAGUACAGACAUUACUGCAGUCCACAGGUCUCAGCCUAUUUGCCUGGCAAUUGUGUCCUGUACAUUUACCCUCAGGUCAUUGGACUCAGCAGGUAUAUAUUUAGUUAUGGCAUUUCAGCACCUCUAUCAUGUUCCCCAUGUAGAUCCUACAAUGAUCAUAUGUUACGGUGAAAGUUGCUGUACGAUGUCACUAUGACCAUAGUUCACUUAUGGCUACACUGUCAUAACCAGUAACUUUUAGCUGAUCUAUAGCUUAAAUGUACUACUAUCCUCACCCCAUUAAAUUCCACUCAGACUACCGUUACCUCCCAAUACCACAGGAACUACAUUGGGCCUUUCUCAACCUCUUAUGCAUAGUCCUCACUCAAAGCCAUCUAUGGACCUUGGCAACAUACUUCAGGUAACCUUAGUGGACAACUACGUCUUAUUUGCAACCCCUCAUUAGGGUACCAAGUUCACAUACCAUCUGGUUUGGAAUGUAUACGUAAAGUUAAGCUAUCUUACAGCUUUCUACCUGUAAGUAACAUCUUAAAGUAGUAUACAUCUACUAUAUCUUGCACGGUCCACAUAUGGCCACACAGUAGCUCUCCUCACGACCCUACCUACACGGCCUACUCCUGGCCAAAAAGCACAGAAUGUAAUAAUUCCCUCAUAACAGACGUUCUCCUUGCCUCUCUUAUUGUACUACUUUGGUCUAACAUAUUGUCAGUUUACGACGCGGGCAACAUGCCAUGAUGCCACUUACAUUAUGAUUCGUACUGAAUUAUCAUGUGGGGCAUUUGUUUCCCUGGGUCGACCUCACUAGUCAGCCGCCAUCGUGCUUACAUACUGGACUAUUCCCACGUCACCGCCGCAUAUUAGACCAGCUCAUAUACAUAAUAUGUAUACUGUCCUUCCCGCUUCCCUGGCUAUUUGACUGCUCGGGCAACCAUGGUACGAGUUACCACAUUAGCCAUGCAAGUUCAAUGCCUAUGGUACGGCAUUACCCAACACCCAGGCUUUUAAGUAAUUACAGCUUUCCGGCUGGUAAACUAGGAAUGUCCCACAUACUUCAUACACUUUUUAGGCUCUUCUAGCAGAAAGACGCCCAGCGGGAACUCACCUAGGCUCAAUAUAUUCAGGUGUCUCUUCCCCAUACAUAUGUAUGUCUUUAAAUAGGUUCAUCCACAUAUGUAGUCGCCCCGAAGCAACGGCUUACACAGAGCUUGCUGCAACCUCAGGGGACAGUUGGCUGUGAAGUAAGUGGCAGACGAAGUAAGCCAGAUCGAAAGGUUCCAUAAGAACUCUGCACGCUUCAAGGUAUAUUCCAUCAUAGCUGCAACAGCAACAUGGGGUCAUUCAUGGACAAGCAGACCGGUUCGAGGUUUUUGACAAUUUGUCAAUUGGCCACGUCAUAAACCAGUCCGGUCUGGUAUUCCUUAGUAUGAAUUCAUCAGACAACUAACGGAGGGGAAUCCUGUCACCAAUUUAUCUGUUCUGUUACCACGUACCAGGCACUUACAAUACAGCUGCUGACCAGUUAUCUAGUCUUUAGUUUCAGGCGUUCAGGAGGUCCCUAACAACUGCCUCACCUAUGGCCACGAUCGUUCCCCCAACUCCAAGAAUUCAAGUGGCUAAGUCACAGCAGGAAUUCACACAGUUGGCCUUCAAAGAAUAUGCACACUGCAUGACAGAGCUUACUGCAUAUAUCAAAGGUCAUGUCAGACCACCACCUUACAAACUGGUUCAAGAAUACAAUGUUGGCGGGCUUUCGCCAUUUUUUGCCACAUCAAAACAAAUGUCACACAACACCAUUAAGUUAUAUCUCCCAGGCAUUCAACACCACAUGUUUUCAGUUACAAACACCAUGCUCAAACUGCCAUAUACUUGGCUUUCAUGGUUUACCACGACCAGAUAAUUUACCAUCAUAGGGCAACACGAUUCCAAAGCUUUGCCUACGAUAUUCUAAACCUGUACACAUACAGGAUCACUACGUAUUAACUUACCAUCAACUAAGAUCAGCCAGAGGGGUCACAAGGUACUUAUUCAGUACAAACACACCAACAACGCAUACCUCAGCCGAUACAGGAAUUAAGGAAGGCAUUUGUGUAAUGUCACCGUAAUACGCUAACUCCAUGUCUUGUGUUUUCGUAAUAAACAUCUUUGAUUACACUAUAUGGGUAUUCCUUUUUGCCCACUUAUUUACAGGUCUACCACACACGUCGGUUUCGGCACACCUCUACCGACUUUUGAUUAUUGUGAUAAGUAUACUUACUAGCUAUUUCAUACUAUACUGAAAUGGCCCCGACCACAAAUUGGAAGGCGGGGCCUGAAGUUGUGGGAGGGGCUAUGUCCCUUUAAAAGGGACUCCCCCUCCUACCUAACUUACCUACUGGUCCAGACGUACUUCUGGCCCACCCUCCUCUCCCUCUAUGCAAUACACUAUUCAAUACUAUUUAAGGUAGGCCCACUUAUUUACAGGUCUACCACACACGUCGGUUUCGGCACACCUCUACCGACUUUUGAUUAUUGUGAUAAGUAUACUUACUAGCUAUUUCAUACUAUACUGAAAUGGCCCCGACCACAAAUAUAUAUAUAUAUACACAUAUAUAAUUUUUUUUUUUUAAUAACUUUAACUUUUUUUCAUGAUUUUACACUAACAGGGAGACUGCCUGUCAGCACAGGCAGUCCCCCUUCAGGCAGAUACAUGGACACCUAUUGUGUUGAGCGAUCACAUGGCCCCAGGGGUCCUAAUCCGCCAUGGGGAGACUGUCUGGGCUGCAGGCAGUCUCCCCACAAUGGGAGCAACACCGAUCGCCGCCGGGGGAACGACGGCGAUCGGGUAAGUACAUUGGACCGUUAGGACAGUUCAGGACCGUCACCGGUCGGCAACGCAAAAAUGCCAAUGACGGUCCUGAACCGUCAUCGGUCCUGAAGGGGUUAAAGCAGGCAUGUCAUUAGAAAAAUGUCCACAUUAAUCAAAUAGAGUAUACAAACAUAAACAACCCUUAAACCAGGUUAGCAGUUCUGCCUUUAUGUAUAACAAAUGAUAGUUUGUAAAUCCAUUCCCUUUUUUUUAUUUGUUUUUUAAAAGGGAUUUGUUGUAAGAUUAAGAGGACUAGACUGCAAUAAUUAUCAGUGAAAAAAUAAAUAAUAAUACACAAGUCAUAACUGGAGUGUUUUACAUGAAAGCACUACAGAUUAUUAUAUAUUAAAGGUACAUGCGUCGCUGUAAAAGCAUUAGUUAUAAAUGAGAGUUGCCUCACUGUGCAUGAUGAAACAGGUAAAUAUGUUUUUUUUUCAUAUUAUCUGUUUCUUUCUUACGAAUUUCAUACCCAGUCCAAGGGGCACACUGAUCUAACAAUCAAUGUCCUAUCCCUAGCAAUGCUGGAAAAGUGCAUUGGGCAUGCCUUACAGCUUUACACAUGUGCAGUGGAAGAGCUCUUUACCUUGCAUCUUACUGACAGGAGAAAGCAGAGAGGGAGUCUGUUCAAUGUGAUUCAUGUAGAGUCGACUAUGAUGUUGGGGUUCUCUUUCUUGCUGCUACACAAUAAUAUCCUGUUUUUGUCAUUAGUGGACUGGAUUAGUAGGUGGGUAAGCGAGGCUUAAAAAACUUCUAGCAGAAAGGCGUGCCCAACAAUGCAAUCAGUGAAAGUUUAUAGUAAGUUUAUUAACAUAAUUUUCACAGUUGUGUUGCUUUAUUUUGUAUAAAAACGUGUUUUGUUUGCAGGUUUAAAAAAAAAACAAAAAAAAAACUAAUUUUCAAGUGAUGCAUGUCCCUUUAACUUGUUAAUAGAAAAAUAUUACUUUAAAAUAAUUUAAUACAGAUAUUAGACUGGUGGAGUGUACUAUGUAGUGAAGAAAAAAAAUGAAUAAAAACAACAAUAACUAAACAAAUAUUUCCAAAAUAAGCCAAGAAAUGAACCAAAACAGUUCUCAUAAUAAUGUAAAAACUGACACAAGAAGUGAAAAAAUGGCAAAAGUAAAUUAAAGAGAGAAGUAGGGAAUUCAAAUAAUUAAAAGAAACAGGGAUUAAAGAGAAUUAAAUAGAAAAAUAGAUUACAGGGUUCACCAGCUGGGCACUGAGCAUAUAUUUUAAGGUGCUAAAAACUAAAUAAAAAGAAAAUAUUAGUAAAUCAAUAUAAACUGGUGUGGCUUUGAAGCUGGAUAUACUUAAAGGGACACGCUAGGUACGAUUACUAUUUCAACUUGAAUUGGUUGUAGUGCUUCAAAUUCCCUGGUGCUGUCGCUCCGUUCAGUGUUAAACAAUUUAUAAGCAGUUUAAUACUGUACAAGGGUCUCUGGCCAUCCAUAGCCCAGCACCCACUAGAGGUAGAAACAUAGAAUGUGACGGCAGAUAAAAACCAUUCGGCCCAUCUAGUCUGCCCAAUUUUCUAAAUACUUUCAUUAGUCCCUGGCCUUAUCUUAUCGUUAGGAUAGCCUUAUGCCUAUCCCACGCAUGCUUAAACUCCUUUACUGUGUUAACCUCUACCACUUCAGUUGGACGGUUAUUCCAUGCAUCCACUACCCUCUCAGUAAAGUAAUACUUCCUGAUAUUAUGUUUAAACCUUUGCCCCUCUAAUUUAAGAACAUGUCCUCUUGUUGUGGUAGUUCUUCUUCUUUUAAAUAUAGUCUCCUCCUUUACUGUGUUGAUUCCCUUUAUGUAUUUAAAUGUUUCUAUCAUAUCCCCCCUGUCUCGUCAUUCCUCCAAGCUAUACAUGUUAAGUUCCUUUAACCUUUCCUUAUAAGUUUUAUCCUGCAAUCCAUGAACCAGCUUAGUAGCACUUCUCUGAACUCUCUCUAAGGUAUCAAUAACCCUCUGGAAAUACGGUCUUCAGUACUGCAUGCAAUACUCCAAGUGAGGUCUCACCAGUGUUCUGUACAAUGGCAUAAGCACUUCCCUCUUUCUACUGCUAAUACCUCUCCCUGUACAACCAAGCAUUCUGCUAGCAUUUCCUGCCGCUCUAUCACAUUGCCUGCCUAUCUUUAAGUCAUCAGAAAUAAUUUCCCCUAAUUCCCUUUUCUCACAUUAAAUGUAUGGUAUGAGGUAUGGCUAAGUCAGAGAUUAUUUAUUUCCUUCUAGCCACACCAAUUCAUACCAGCAAGCUGAAAGUGCUAAACUAACAGUUAUAGUGCCACUUUAAAGUAACAUUAUUAAAAUUAAGUUAUGGUGCCAGGAGGUCCCUGGUGCUAAAUCACUUUUAGGGGUUAAACCACUCACAAACAAUUUAACCCUAAAGUCUGUGUUCCAGGACCAGAUGACUCUGCUCCCCCAUCCUUCUGUUAUCUGAAAUCUUAGAUAACACAAGGCUCGGUAGCACUGGGCAGGGGCGUUGCUGACUAGCUCCUUAUUCAUAAAACAGGUAUGUACCUAUUAUGUGGCAGCUAGCAAGUUCUUCCUAAACAACUAUAGAGUAGGUAAAAAAAUCAAUGUGGGGGUCAAUAAGAACCCCAUAUUACUACAAGGAAGGUUUAACAUCUCUGUAUGCUCCCAUCUACCAUGUAGCAGAAGGGGGCAUGUCACCUAAAUGUUUGAAACUAGCAAAUGGACAGCCAUUGUUGGGUAGUUGCUAGAAAGGCCCUAUCCCUAUGCUAUACAAUAUCAGUUAGAGCUCUCUGAUUAGUUGGCUUACACAUCUACCAAUCAGAGAGCUCUACUGAGAAUUCAAAGCUUGGAAAGCCUUAUAAAGGUGUUUCCUGCUUUGAAGCCUCAUUCUGCAAAGAGCAAAGAUUAAUUUAUUUUUCUUUUUAAUUGUUUCUUUGUGAUCAUUUUUUUAAUUUGGCCUUUUUUUUUUUUUUACAGAUGUUAGAUUUAAUGGAACCCACUUCAAUAUUAUUAGAGGGGUAGUAAGGGUUCACCUAAUUUAAGGGGGUGCCUGAGGAAUUGAGAACAAUGUACAUGUAACACUUUUGUAAACCUAUAGUACAGGGAGCCAUCACUUGCAUCCUAGUAUUACCACUUGGUGUAACCAUGAAGACCUAUAUGGAGUUACAACCUGUACUUACAAAUAUCUUGAAAUAUUUUUCUCUUUAGAGCCUUAGAAGGUGAGCCCAUUUCCAUAGAAAGCGGCAAAAAUCAGACAGAUAUAGGAAUAAAGAAUCUAAUGACAGUACGGUUUGGUAUGAAAAGUGCUGCCGCUGUGUAUAGUGUUAGACUUAACCGACUGUCUAGUAGGCAAUCGUAAUCAGCAAAAGGCAGUAAAUUAAAAUCUGCAGCUAGACAUGAAAAGUGCUGUUGCUGGAUUUAAUGUUGCACUUGACAAACUGUCUAAUGAAUNNNNNNNNNNNNNNNNNNNNNNNNNNNNNNNNNNNNNNNNNNNNNNNNNNNNNNNNNNNNNNNNNNNNNNNNNNNNNNNNNNNNNNNNNNNNNNNNNNNNGAUCGUUAUCAGUGAUUUUAGCCGUUCCUUCAAUAUGGUGAUAUACUCCUAUAUAUGUCACAGUAGGUUGUUAGAAAGGGAACACAUUUCCAUAGAAAACAGCAAAAAUCUGACUAAUAUAAGAAUAGAGACUCGAAUGAAAGUACGCCUAGGUAUGAAAAGUGCUACUGCUAUGUAUAAAGUUAAGCCUAGCAGACAGUCCAGUAGGUGAUCGUUAUCAGCGGAAGACAGUAAAUUAGAAUCUGCGGUUAGGCAUGAAAUGUGCUGCUGCUGGAUUUAAUGUUGCACUUGACAGGCUAUCUAAUGAAUGAUCGUUAUCAUUGAUCUCAGCCAUUCCUUUAAUUUGAUGAUGCACACAGUGGAUAUAAAAGUUGCUGUCACAAAAAUAAUAAUCCUUUUAUCAUCCAAGUUUUCGUAUAAGUAUAUAUAUCAACCAAUUUUCUUUUGUACUGUCCAAUUGGUGAACUAAAAUUGAUGUGCAACAGAAAAUAAUGGACACCUGACAGAAAGGUUCUAAUAGUGAGAUCUGUAUUUAGGAAAAAGAUCCAAUAUUAGUUAAAAGGUAUAUGUACAGAAAAAGAAAGAGACCCUGGUCACAUAAAGUCUCCCUUAACCCUCCUACAAAUGCGGAGUUGUUUAAUAAAGCAAUUACAUCUACAUGAUAUUAGGUAUACCAAGCCCGCCACAUUACAAGAAGUGCUUGACUGUGAAGGUUUGAUUACCCUCACUGUCAGUCACCUUUAUUGAGUCAAGAGGGGGAGUGCCCAGCCAUGUCCUAGUGGGGCAUGUCUUAGGUUGUAGAUGACUUGGGAUUAACAUGUCCCUGAAGUUCCUGCCCCUUCGGGAGGGGAUAUUCACCAGUGGGCCAAGGACCUCUCUCAGAUGGAUGUCAUUCGUCAGGAUUGGCCAAAAUCUUUGGAUACACUUUUGCACCUCAUUCCAUCCUGCAUCGUAUGUCGCAAUCAUACGGAUAGUUUUAUUUUCGUUUUUAUUCUCAGACAUUGGGCGGUCCUUAAACAGAACAUUUCUCUCAGCCUCCAACGUCCUCCUGUAGGCUCUUUGUAGACACUUAUUCGGGUAGCCCUUUUCUCGGAAUUGUUGGCUGAGUGUCUGAGCUUUCAGUUUGAAAUCAUUGAUAUCACUGCAGUUUCUCUGCAGUCUGAGAUACUGUCCUACUGGGAUACCACGUUUCAUUGAUCUCGGAUGGUAACUGUCCCAACGUAGGAGAGAGUUGAAGGUAGAGAGUUUCCUAAACAAGGUGGUGGAGAGAGAACAUUCAUUAGUGAUUGUGAUAAUGAGGUCCAAGAAGUUUAAAGCGGUACUUCCAAACUCAGAGGUAAAUCUGAGGUUUUCCUCGUUAAUGUUCAGGAUGGACACAAAGUCAGUGAACUCUUCUGGGGUACCCUGCCACACAUCCAACACAUCGUCAAUAUAGCAACGCCAUAAAUGGAUUUUCAAGGUGUAUCCUGUCAGAGAUUCCAACUUCCACAGCUGCUCCUCCAGAACUUAGAAAAUCCUCCAGGCCAUCUUAUUGCCUUCGGAGUGGAUAAUUUAACCCAGAACGUGAGCCUGUAUAGCGAUAAAAUCCUGAGACCAUUGUCGAUUGGCCUUCCAUCAUAUAUUCAGAACACUAAGCAGGCUCUGACCCGCCUCUCCGAUGUCAAAGUACCGGAAAAUGGCCAUCUGUGUAGUCUUAAUGUAGAAGCUUUGUACUCCUCCAUUCCACAUGACAGAGGUGUUAAAAAUGUCGAACACUUCUUAAACCUGAGAGGAAUGGAGUAUCAGAGUCACAAAGCUUUUCUGUUGAAACUUCUUUAUCCUAUCACACAACUACUUCCUAUUGCGUAAUAAGUUCUACCACCAAACCAGGGGCAUUGCGAUGGGCACGGCUUGUGCCCCAUCGUAUGCCAAUCUCCACCUGAGUUGGUGGGAGGAACAGCUGUGAAAGUUGGAAUCUCUGACAUGAUACACCUCGAAAAUCGAAAAUCCAAUAGAAAAGAAACCAACAAAAGAGCAACAAAAGUCCCUAGCUAUCUUGCCCAGCAGGAACUAUUUCCUCCACAUGGGAGAAUGUAUUCCUUUUUAAAAAUUAUUUAAUAUAAGAGCUGUCUAACAGCACUGGACAGCUCCAAAACAUUUAACCCUUGCACCGCCAAGGUUUUUAAAUAUUUACUCGCUUGCUGCUGGCGUUGCCAUAGGUUUAAUAGUAAUUUUUUGUUUUUGUUUAACUCUAGGCAUUGAUUUGAAGCAUUUAGGCCCGGAAUUGAAACAUUCAUGUCCAGAUUUCAGCCAUCUUGUAAUAAGAAUGUAACUAUAUUACUUUAUUUUGGGUAACCAUAAGAAUCUGUACCGCUAUAUUGAACAGCACCGCAGCUUUUUACUCAAAGCACACAGCAAACAAAUAAACUUGCUUUGUCUGGGUACCAGAAUAACAAGUGCAUUUCUGAGUAUGACUCUGCCCCUGAUCUGACUGCUUCGCUGACAUCAUCAGAAGUGAGGUUCAGAGCCAAUCAAAAUGUUUUCACAUUGGAAAGCAAUGGAUUGGCUAAGCUUGUCAAGAAGGCAGAUCAGGGGCAGAGGCAGCACAAGCCAAACACAGCCCUGGCCAAUCAGCAUCUUCUCAUACAGAUGAAUUGAAUCAAUGCAUCUAUAUGAGGAAAGUUCAGUGUCUCCAUGCAGAUGGUGGAGGCACUGAAUGGUAGUGCUGCAUUUUGUGCAACACUGCACCAGGAAGAACCUCUAGUAGCUAUCUGAGAAGUGGCCAUUGGAGGUAUCCCUAGGCUGUUAUGUAAACACUGCAUUUUCUCUGAAAAGACAGUGUUUACUGCAAAAAGCCUGUAGGGAAUGAGUAUACUCACCAGAGCAAAUACAAAAAGCUUCGGUUGUUCUGGUGACUAUAGUGUCCAUUUAAGCAAAUCACAUUUUUUUCCUACAGUUAUAUGUAAACUAUCCAUUAGACCUUCAGUUAUUGUUCCCAUUAUAAGACCUUUAGUUAUUUCAUUGAAGUUGAGAUCUCUGCUUUAGGCAUAGAGAUUUUUGAAUCUUAUGUUUUUCUUCUCUCACCUUCAAAAUCUUACAUUUGGAAAACAUGUGAAAAUGUGCUACAUUUAUAUGCAAAUUAACCCCUUCAGGACCGCUGACAGUUCAGGACCAUCAGCGGUAAAACGUGCGUUUGGACCGCUGACGGUCCUGAACCGUCAUAGCGAAAAACGGUCUGCAGGAAGCGAUCAAAGAUCAAAUAGCAAAUAGCAACCCACAACUCAUUUUUGCUUUUUAAAAAAAAAUAAUCGAGGGAAAACCACCUUUCUCCAAUUUCAGUUGAAAAUAAUUUCUUUAACAAUUUAUGGAGAUGGACAAGUUCCAACAACGGUGUAAGCUGAGUCCAGGCAUUUUAUUUUUAAGUUACCGCCAACUGCUAGAAACCCCUCCCCCCUAGAAACGUUGCCGGGUCUGUUUUAAAAAUGGGAAGAGGACAGACACCCCUUUUCACUGUCCUGAUUGCCCUUUGAAACCAGGACUGUGUGUAGGAACAUGUUCCAAGCUGUACCACACAGAACAGUUGUAAGAAGUGUUCCUGAAUUUUUAUUUUAUUUUUUGUUUCUUUGGAAAGCAGCCAUUUUUUGUUAGUCAGUUUCCUUCCCCCAAAUCUCCAGUUAGAUUCUAUUUGCAGGAGUCAGUUUAAAGAUUGCUGCUAAAUGUUCAUUUGUUACCUGCACAUUUGGUCUAACAAGAUUUCUGGCAGUAACACAUAACCAGCAGGCCAAAACCAGAUGACGUGUGCAUAAAAACCAGAAUUUAAAAAUUACCACUACACUUUCAAAAUGGUUGGGAGAAAGAAGUCAAAACACCCCAUCUUCUAUAAUCUUUGAUGUCUAAUUUAUAAAAAUAUAUAUUAUAUAUACUUUCAUGAUGGUAACAUUAACUGGGGGGUGCAAAAAUAUGUCAAACUGAGGACAGACCAAGCAUACCUAUAUAUCAAGUUCUGAUUGUUGCCUUUUGGCACCCAAACAACCCAGACCCAAACAACCCAGCAACCCUUUACAUGGGGGGGUAUCAUUUUACUCGUGAGAUGUUGCUGAACAUAUUGGGAUGUUGUUUGGCAGUGACACAUAACAGGAUCUGUUAAUUCAUGCCUAAAGUACAAUGUGUGUGAAAAAAACAGAAAAAAAAUUACUACCUCAAUCUUUGACAAAGCCUGGUGGUAGAAUUCAGUGCAUGAAAAGUGUUAAAAUACCACCAUGUGAAAUACCCUAGGGUGUCUACUUUUCAAAAAUAUAUGGUUUGAUGGGGGUAAAAUACAUUAGCCGGCUUCAAAAAUUUCCCAAAUAGGACAUGCAUGCAAGUUGACUACAUGUCAAAAUUCCAAGUUGGGAAACUGAUAUGCGCACCUGCCAAAUGUGGUCUUUUAGCCCCACAACAACCCGACACACCUAUACAAGGGGGGUAUCCCUGUACUCGAGAGAUGUUGCUGAACACAUAUUGAGGUGUUGUUUGGCAGUGACAAAUAACAGGAUCUGUUAAUUCAUGCCUAAAGUACAAAGUGUGUGAAAAAAACUGAAAAUUUUUUCUAACUCAAUGUUUGACAAAGCCUGGUGGUAGAAUUAGUGCAUGGAAAGUGUUAAAAUACCACCAUGUGAAAUACCCUAGGGUGUCUACUUUUCAAAAAAUAUAUGGUUUGAUGGGGGUAAAAUACAUUGUCUGGCUUAAAAAAUGUCCCAAAUAGGACAUGCAUGCAGGUUGACUACAUGACAAAAUUCCAAGCUGGGAAACUGAUAUGCGCACCUGCCAAAUGUGGCCUUUUAGCCCCUCAACAACCCGACACACCUAUACAUGGGUGGUAUCACUGUACUUGGGAGAUGUUGCUGAACACAUAUUGGGGUGUUGUUUGGCAGUGACACCUAACAGAAUCUGUGAAUUUAUACCUGAAUUGCAAUGUAUGUGAAAAGUUUGGCAAAGGUUUGUGGUAAAAUGGCUGCAUAGAAAGUAUCAAAAUAUUCUUAGAUGAAUACCCUGGUAAAAAAUAUAUACAUGUGGGGUGUUUUUUGGAGAUUUAUGACAUAACAGUGUUACAAUGUCACUAUUGAUACAAUUGAAAAAUGUACAUUUUGAAACCGCAAUUUCCUACUUGUACUUAUAGCCCUAUAACUUGCAAAUAAAAGCAAAAAACACAUAAACAUUGGGUUUUUUUAAACUCAGGACAAAAUUUUGAAUCUAUUUAGCAGUUUGUUUCAUUCGAUUUUGUAGAUAGGUAAAAGAUUUUUUAAGUAGUAGUCAAAAACCUUGUUUUUUUAAUUUUUCACCAUAUUUUAUUAUUUUUUAAAAAUUAAGUUAUAUGACAUGAUAAAAAUAAUAGUAUGUAAAGAAAGCCCUUUUUGUCCUGAAAAAAACAAUAUAUAAUUUGUAUCGGAACAGUAAAUGAGAGAGCGGAAAAUUACAGCUAAACACAAACACCACAAAAGUGUUAAAAUAGCUCUGGUCCUUAACGUACAAACAUCGCAAAAACAGUCCGGUCCUGAAGGAGUUAAGUGCAAACCACAAGAAGUUGUUUUUUUCUAGUAUGUUACUAGUCGCUCAUGCAUUUUUCUCUGUAGACACUGUCUUAUAAAAUAGCACGUCUGUAUAUAUAACAAAUGCAUGUUCAGGUUUAAAUGUAUCUAGAUUGCCACAAUGAGGAUAUAUAUAUAUAUAUAUAUAUAUAUAUAUAUAAUCAUCCCAGGUUGUACAUGAUAAGGAAUCUUUUGAAAAUCAGUAUUAAAAGCUAAUGGUUUACCUCUUACAUUUAAAAGUAUUGUCUGCUUUCAUAUUUAUCAUUUGAUUGGCCAUUCACAUUUUCAAGAAUCAAUAGUGUAGCUCUAGCUUGUAAGUCUUGUUGCUCUUUCUGGCUACCACCCAACCUAUAUAUCCUUUUCAAAGUGCAUAGGCGUAAUGUAAACAGUAAUGGGAGAAGAAUAAUGGAUAAUAAAACACUUUUUUGUGAUUUGCGUAUGGGUGUGUUUUCAAAGCAUUACGUGGGUUGUUAAAUAGUCUAUUCAGCAAAACUCUACUGUUCAUCAUGUCUAUAAAGCAGUAGUAGAUGAUUUUCUUAAUAAGUUUCCGACUGGAUAUCCCCCUCUUUUGGCAUUGUAUAUCUGCAUUGUUGUUGUUUCAAAUUUUACGGACUAGAAUUGAAUAUAUUGUGGUAUAUUAAAAACAAAAUGAAAUACCCAAAUAUAUGUGUAUGUUUUAAUUAAUAUGCUCCUUCUUAAUUUGUAGGCAGGCAGUUGCAUACACUUCUAGUACUUACGGAUAACCUUUACUCUACUGUGCCAUUCCACUAGACACACUUCCUUAUUAUAAUUGUCCCUUGGAACUUAGUUAAUGUCCUUUAUCUUUAUGAAAUGUUUAGGUACCACCAGAUUCAAGUUUUUACAACAAGCAUACUUGAAAAAAUAAAAUUUCUAUAGGAACUGAAAUACCUUCAAACUCCUGUGUGAAGAACCAAAAUGACAAACAUAUGGGAUUUUGUAUUUCUAUGCUAUGUUAGAGUACCAGCACACUCCCCACAGUCUUCUUUAAUUGUUAGCAUCAUGCCACAUUAGGUAUAAUCUUAACUGCUAACCAAUGGCAUAUCCCAAUAUAUCACUGCUCACUUCAAGCAAAAUGCAUACAAAGUCUUGACGAUAUGGUAUAGGACACUCCUGCUUCUGUUCUAGGACACCCAUUGAAUGGUGGCAUUUCUAGUAGUGCCACCAUUAUCCAAGAUAUUUUGUUAAUCUAUAGAAGGACUGCUCCUUCAUUGGAGGAAAACACAAACAAUUUUUAUGAAAUUCUCUCAUCACCCACCUCUGUUUCAACAGCCGCAUUUAUUUUACGCCAUAUCACAACUGUCUCCUCUAAUAAAAAAAAAAAAUCUUUAGCUAUCAGAAUCAUGAACAAUGUCAAACACCUUUUUCUACUGUAUUGGAGAUGGAACAUUCCCCCACAGCUGCAUCUUUGGUACUCGAUGUAGAAGAAUUGAUAUUUGGUUCACAAGGGAGACCAGGGUGUAUAAAGUGAUAUGGACACAGUAGGAAGUCACAAUAAGAAUCAGUAUUGGAAGAAGCAUGACUCAGCAGAAUUUGGAUCAAUCUGCGAUUCUGUAAAAAAUCUGAACCCUCCUUUCUUUAAAUGAAAAGCCCACGCUUGAAGCCCAUGAGUUGGUUGAUGUACAUUACUAGUGACUGGGAAGAAAUAGUUGCCCAGUUGCUAGUCUUUUUUUACAGCGAGCCACUGGCUGCUUGCUGUUUAUGAGACACGCUCCCACUCAUGCCAUCGAGGACAUUAGCAUUUGUACAUUAGUACAAAGGAGGUAUAACUAUAACUAUAUACAACCUCCUUUGUACUAAUGUGGGGGCAUAUUGUCCAUCAUAGUCUUUUUGAGACUAUUUAAUAUAAUGCAUAGGUAGCAAGCACUGACCAGCUACCAACUGAUUAAGCCUCGCUCCGCAGAGUGCCAAUGUUUGGUAUUAAAAUCUAUUUUAAUGUGAACUGCACUGACACCUCUCUGAAUGACUGAGGCACCAAACAAAAUCUUCCAUUUCAAAUAUUUUGUUUAAAGGAACCAAAACGUUUAAUCUUGCACAAGUCUCGUCACAACUACAGUACAUCAAGUAAUCGCUAAACUGCAUGUGUGCAUGUGUACUUGCCACCAUGAGCAUAAUACUGCAACUCAAUAGCUGCUGUAGGUGGUUACUGCUCAUAGAGAGUGUUACAUUACAUAUUUUGCAAGGGUCAAACCUUUCAGGGGUUACCAAUUCUAUUCUCUACCCACCCAUUACCCUAUCCCCCCUUCUUGUUUCUGACUUUACUUUGGUAUGUCACAUGUCUCUUGAAUACCUACUAUGCUUGCUCUUAUCGUGACACUUUACUUCCUAUGAAUAUGUGCAAUAUUUAACUGUUUUUUAAAUCAUUGUACCACUAUUACUACACAUUUUGUACUGUUAAUUCUGGCUGCAUGCUAAUUCACUUUAUUUAAAAAAAAAAAAAAAGCUAUAUUUGGUUUCCUGCUUGCUGCAGAUUGCAAAAGACAGACUGCUGUGGAGCUAUUCAGUGGUUGUGGGUGUUCUUGAUGCCCACACUUGCUUUUGAAAUCUGCAAGUGAUGUUAUCACUUGGCACCAGGGCAAGCGUGCAUAUAGCAUUUUUAGACCUCCAAGUUAAAAUUCUUAACUGCUAUGUCAGUGAAAAGCUAAUGGCAUAGCUGUAAAGCUCAUGCAUGCUAUUUUAAUGUAUAAUUUAACCCCUUAAGGACACAUGACAUGUGUGACAUGUCAUGAUUUCCUUUUAUUCCAGAAGUUUGGUCCUUAAGGGGUUAAUGAAUUUUAAUGUAAACAUUUGCUAGCAGUUUGACUAAAUUAGAUUAAAUGUAGAUCUUAUUUUUUAUAACAAUGUUUGGUUAUGACAAGUAUAUUAAAGUAUGCAAACUUAUAUGUUGCUUUUAAGUGAAAACAAAUGAAACUGAGAAGAAAUAAUGAAAUGUGGUUAAUAAGAAGAUUUAAAUUAACCAUCAUACCACUUUUAAAGUUUCUUUUUUUAAUUGCUGGCUACAGCAUAAUAAUGAAUUGAUGUAAAAACAUUCAAGAGACAGAUGCAUUUUCUAACUUAACAGUUUCUAUAGAUUGUUUUAUAUAUCUAUACAUUAAAACACAGUGUAGCGAUUUAAGUAGCAUGUCAAUUUAAAAAAAGACCAGAAAACAAACAUUGAAAGCUUAAAUGCAUCUUAAAGUUAUAAGUAAUAAAAAAUCUGUUUUUAUAUAUAUAUAUAUAUAUAUAUAUAUAUAUAUACAUAAACAGAUUUUUAUGAAUCUGGGAAUAAAAUAUUUAUUUAAGAAACAGAGAAUUGAGCAGUGAAACGUCAGAGGCAUGAGCUAUACACCAAAACUGCUUCAGUCAGCUAAAGUUGUUUUGGUGACUGUAGGGUCCCUUUAAAGGGAAUCUGUAGGCACCCAGACAACUUCAGCUAAUUGAAGUGGUCUGGGUGCUGUGUCCCUAUUGAAAGAAAAAGAACAAGAAUAGAGCCAAAUGCUAGGUACACUGGGGGAACGGGCGGUAACCCCAAAUAGAAAGUAGAAAGAUAGAGUAGUGUACCUAAAUAGACUGGGAUAGAAACUGUAAACUCGAAGUUGAGUAUCGAAAAUGACAGAAGGAUAGCUGCCAGACAAAGUACUAAACUGAUAAAAGCAAAAAAUAAAUACAUUUUAUUAAGUUAUUAACCAAUGUAACAAAAAAAAAUUAAACUUGCUUAUGUACAGACAAAGAAAAAAAAAUAGGUACUGAAAUCAGUACCAUGUUAAAAAACACCCUAUUGAUACUGAAACAAAUCACAGAAUAUCACACCGGUCUCAAAUCUGCUAAUAAAGAUUGUAUGCGUUCUUAUGCAAAAAGUGGUGUAAGCUAAAGUAUUGCCUAUUAAUAUAAAGGAUUUACAUAUGAGGAUCACCGAUUUGAAAAUAGACACACGAUAGUACUGAAUGAGAUGUGCUAAUUUGGUUGAAAUAAUCAAAUUUUAAUCAGGAUUGCCUUUAGUAAAUAUGGAAACUGCAAAUUAUGUGGUAAAUUGGUUAAUUUAACCAAACUUUACUGACACAGUCCAAAUUUGAUCUUUACGGAAUAACGCUGAAAAUUAUAUUUAUGGUUGAUUUAUAUAUGGAGUUAUUUGCUUCUAUUCUUUGUUUACUGCUGCAAUUCUGUCACAGUAAGCCAUUAGUUGCUAUUUACUAUUGAAUAUUUGGGUGAUCAGCGAUUCAUCAAAAUUCCAAAACUCUAAAUGCUAUAUCACUUAUUAUGAAACAAACCAAAUGGGCAGUGGACCAGGUGUUUGGUUGUUUAAUGGGUCGGAGUGGCGCCAGAUAAAGGAGGGAAUGGAGAAGAAGCUUUUUUUCCCUUUUAUUGCUGUACUCUAAUAAGAGCAUUUUUGUGCCAUUCUGUUCAUUAGAAUUGAUUUUCCUGAAACAAUCACAUGGGCAUGAUAAGUCCAAACCAAUAUGCCACAUGGACGAAAUGUGGAUCAUCUGAAUCAAAUUUUGUUUUCAGACGCACACAUUUUUUUGCUGUGCUGUAAUUAUUGUUUGGUGAUUUCUAAUCGUACGCAGGGAUGUUUUUAUCAACUGAUACCUACAUAAGUUCCCUUAUAAAACCUCUGCUUCAUAGGUCCUUAUUAAUAGUGCUGGGUAUAUAGACCUAUGCUUCUGCAGAGUUUGCUAUGGCAGAUUGGAACAGGAUGAACCAGCUGGUCAGUCAUCAAUAGCUUAUUUCUUUAGCACUGAACUACUGAGUUAUCUAAUAGUAUAGUCCUCAUGAGUUGGCAACUAAAUUUCAAAAUUAGUUUAAAACAGCUGAAUUAAAAAAAAUGAAUUCCAGCUCUGCCAUUUGGCUUAUAUUAUGCAAUAUAAGCUCAUUUAAGUUGUUUAGGUAAUAGAGCUCCUGUCUUAGAUUAUGUGACCCUUAUCAAUACUCAUAGGAGUGCGCACAGGGUGUACCGGGCACACACUAAUCCCCGCGGCCCGCGCUAUGUGCCUCCAUGGGCCGGUGAGCUCUAGCCAGCAGCUCCACCGGGUUCCUCUUGCGAGGUCUGAGAGUUUGUGCGGCAAUGCUCAGAUCUCGCAAGAGUGAACUCUAGCCCUGCAGGCUAGAGUUCACUCACCACUGGACCACCAGAGAUGGCAGCAGCACGGUCCCCCCUCCCUAUAAGGUAAGAAGGGAGGGGGGACCAUGCUGCUGCCAUCCCUGGUCCACCCACCCCCACACAAUACACACAAACAGCACACACACUAACAGCACCCUCACACACACAGCACCCUUACACAUACAUACUGCACACACUAACAGCACCCUCACACACACAGCACCCUUACACAUACAUACUGCACACACUAACAGCACCCUCACAUACACACACACACACACACACACACAGCACCCUCUUACACACACAUCACCCUUACACACACAGCACCCUUACACACACAGCACUCUCACACACACUGCACCCUUACACAAACAUACUGCACACACUAACAGCACCCUCACACAUACACACACACAGCACCCUCAUACACACACAUCACCCUUACACACACAGCACCCUUACACAUAUGCACACACAAACACAUACACUAACAGCACCCUCACAGACACACAAUGCCCACACACCCACUAACUGCACCCUUACACACACAGCACCCCCACACGCACACAGCACCCUUACACACACACACACUAACAGCACCCUUACACACACACCACACCAUCACACACACAGCACCUUUACACUCACACAGUGCCCAUGCACACACAGCACCCACACAGCGCCCACAUGCACACACACACAGCAGUGUGUAUGUAUAUAUAUAUAUAUACGCAGCGUGUGUGUUUGUGCUUUAGGGUGCACACCCUUAUGCAAUAGGCUGUGCACGCCUAUGUCAAUACUUGUUUAUAAAGAAAUCACACCAGGUAUUCUGGUACAGAGAAGUGAUGGUCUGUGCUCACCCAAAGGAUGUCUGUUGCUAUGCAAUCUGCAUACAUGCUCUCUCAUGUGUAACCAGCUGCUGUAUGUCGGGGUAUCAAGAUUCCAUUCAAACGUUAGCCCUUUUCAUUUGUUAAUUUUUUACAUGUAUUCUUUAUUUGUAUUACACAUAAAGAGAACAUCAGAUGAGAGUCUUGCAGGACUCACAAUACAUGUGUUCAAACCAUAAUUUUUUUAUUUUAUUUAUACAAUAUAUAUUUUAAACAUCAUAAACUAAUUUCAGGUAGUAGCUAUAAAAGUUCACAUAGCAAAAUCUUCAAUGAACUUGGUCUUUAAAAUGUGUAAUUAAAUAUUUAAAUGAGAAACAAUAACAGAAAAAGGAAAGGAGGAGAAUUUUUUUUUUUUUUUUAAUUCUGUCACCACGCAUAUCUGCCUCCCAAAUCUCAUAGACCCACCCAGGAUCAACUAGAGAUAUAUUCAAAGUUAUGGUUUCAAAGGUAGGUAUUGUGUGUCUUACUUUAGCUGUGAGCUCAUACAUGAUAUAUAAUUGUAACCACAGCUGGUUCCCUUAUUUACCACUAUAACGUCUUAAAGCAUAGAACUUAGCAGGGCAAACCAUACAGAUAUCUUAGCUAUUAUUUUAUAUAGUCAGUAAGAGAUCCUUUAUUUAAAAUAUAUAAAUAAUUGAGAAUACAAUAUAAAAUAAGGAUUGUCUUGGAAGCAAUAAAGUUGUGUCUUUUAGAUAUUUUAUUAAAUACAAAUAUAAAUAUAGACAUAUAAAAGCCAUUACAAUAAUUUAUAGCAGUGUAUAAGAUUAAACUAUAUGCUUGUGAAUAUCAUUAAUAGAAUAACAUACCCUCCUGAACAUGUCAUCAUGUCAGCCUCUCGGUCCUUAUAAGAUGGAACGUCUGUCUCCAAAACUCUCCUCUCUGUGUUAACAUUUAAAAGGUACACAUAUUUAUACCUUAGGUGUCUUCAUUUUAAGGUUACCGUAGUUCAUAUAUGAAAAAGUUACUUCUUUUACUUUUAUUCAUUUUACGACCUCCCUUAAUUUGGCAAAAAUACAAGGCCCUAACUAAAGGAUGUACACGUCAUGGAAAAUUCCCUGACUUAGGACAAGAUGGCAUCAAGUCUGAACAUCUUUAUCUAUUUAGGGUUACCACAGUAUAUUAUGUACUGAAAGAGUUGUAACAUAGCCUUGAAGCUUGUUUAUGCAUUAUUGAUAAUGUAUUUCAUCUGGGACAAAAUGGCGUAAACAUAUGAUGCACUGAAUGUAGGUAAACGGUUAUUGCUUAAAGAAACAUGUAUGAAAAACAAUAUGUUCCAUUUCUAACACCUUGUCAGUUUGCAAUACCUCUUAAAGACAAAGUACACAGUUUGAGAAAUACAAUAUUUGCAUUUGCCCAUAACAUAAUUAUCUUCUAUUUUUGCUAGAACUUUUAGCAGCAGCGAUGGUAGGACCAGAAGGACCACCUUUACAAGAACUCUUGGCUGCUAGGGCACUUAUGUUUAGUAGUUUUUGUGAAUGUUUUGGUAUACUUUGAAUUGGAUGUGAAAGUAAGUGUCCAUGGAGAUAAUUCUAUUUGUCUCUGGAGAACUUUUACCUGUAAAUUCUUAAUUCAUUUCUAAUAGUGGUGUAGUUUGGGUUAUGUCUAAUUUUGUGUUAAAAAAAAACUAGGGUAAUAUGCCAGCGAAACAUGACUUUGUACAUCUGUUCCUGUGAGAGUAUACAAACUGAUAUCCUAGAUGCAGCUUCCCAAAUUUCUUCCCAGAGUGUGUUCCCUUAACAUCCUGGACCAGAAGGAGCAUUUUUAUGAUUUGCACCCAUUGGAGGUGCAGAUCACAAGUUUUAGUCACUGGUGUAUCCGACCCCAUUAUACUACCAGGGAAUUACAAUCACAGCCUCCGUUGAGGGGGCAAUUAUUAUUAUUGUUCCUUACAUUUAUAUAGCACCAAUAUAUUCCACUGUGCUUUACAAUGAUCACAUGGGGAUAUUUAACAAGCAAUUAACAUACAUACAUUAUCAAAGACAAAAGGUGAAGAAGAUCCUGAUCAAACAGGCUUACAAUAAGUCCAAAAAUGUAUUAAAAACAUUUUUUUAAUGUACUCAAGUAGAGAUUGUAGCCGUAUUAGUCCAGUGAUGUAAAUGUAAAAAAACAGAUAAAACUUGUAUCUUGUAAUACCUUUAUUAUUGGACUAACAGAAUUUUUAAAUGACAAGCUUACGGGAGAACCUCCCUUUCUCACAUUAAGGGUAUAUAUUCAGACUUGAGAAAGGGAGGCUCUCCCGAAAGCUUGUCAUUAAAAAAAUUCUGUUAGUCCAAUAAAAAAAGGUAUUGCAAGAUAAGAAUUGUAUCUGUUCUUUUUACAUUUUUAAUGUGUUGUAAGACUGGACAAAACCAACAAUUUCCAUGCACAUAACAUACACACAUCUACCCACACAGACCAACCUCAGCACUCACAGCCACACAUAUAACUGUCAGGAAUAGAGUUACUCUGACAAACAAACCUAAUGUAAACAAUAAAGGUACACAUACCAGUCCUUAGAGUGACCUGGUUAGUGCCUGAGACAGAUAUAUGAAAUGUCUGCAAGCAGACAGAAUAAACUAUAGACAGGCCAAGGAUUAUUGAAAUACACAGAAUCAAUAGCCAGGCCAAGUUCAGGAUAACAGAGCAAGAAUAGUCAAACAAGCCAAGGUCAGAAAUCAGGAAAUCCAGUAUAAACACACUCUCAGGUAGCAAGAACUAUAACAGGGCAAAGAAACAAGGACAACCAGGAAGUAUAUAUACCCUACACUGGGUUGUGAUUGGUCACAGAGGACCGUGAUGUCACAAGUGUGUAUAAAUAAUCAGAAAGCAACACAUGGGCUGACACCAUAAAAGGAGACUAAUGGGAAGGGUCCAAGUCAUAUAUGAUGUCAUAAUAAGGCACCAGGAAGCUAGGGAUGAGUGUGUGUACAUCAGAACUCCGAAAAUACAUAAUUUCUGUGAUUGCAUGGUGCCACAAGGGACAGGUAUCAUGACAAUAACACACAGUCAUCCACAUCACACCCAGGCAAUACACAUCACACACACUUAAAUACUCAGCUACUCAUUAAUAUUACACCCAGCUAAAGCACAUACAUCUACCAACCCACAGCCAAAACACAUGCAUCACACACAGCCAACCAGACAUAGUCAUGAUAUGCAGCAAUACCACACACAUACUCAAGACACACAGUAAUUCCCACACAGUCACCCUACACAGAACACAAACAUUGUGAGCAGGAUAUUGCUUUGCUGCAGAGGGAUUUGGAUAGAUUGGGUGACUGGGCACUAAAAUGGCAGACGAAAUUUAACGUAGAGAAAUGCAAAGUUAUGCACUUCGGGGUUAAGAAUGCACAAGCAACUUACACACUAAAUGGUAGUGAAUUAGGAAUAACCACACACGAGAAGGAUUUGGAAAUUGUUAUAGAUAACAAAUUAGGCAGCAAUAUGCAAUGUCAAUCUGUAGUUGCUAAGGCCAGUAAGGUUUUGUCAUGUAUAAAUAGGGGCAUAAAUUCUCGGGAUGAAAAUAUAAUUUUGCCUCUUUAUAAAUCGCUGGUAAGACCACACCUUAAAUAUGCUGUGCAAUUUUGGGUGCCUGUUCUAAAGAAAGAUGUCAUGGCACUAGAAAAAGUCCAGAGACGAGCUGCAAAAUUGAUAAAAGGAAUGGAGCAUUUUAGUUAUGAAGAAAGGUUGGAAAAACGGCGCCUGGGAGGGGAUACAAACCUUUAUCUGGAAAUCUAUUCAUAAACAGGGCUAUACAUAGGACACGAGGUCACACAUUUAGGCUGGAAGAAAGGAGCUUUCAUCUAAGGCAAAUAAAAGUUUUUUUACAGUAAGAGCAAUAAGGAAAUGGAAUUCUCUGCCUGAAGAGGUGGUUUUGUCAGAGUCACUACAGAGGUUUAAACUGCAAUUGGAUAAAUACUUAUAAAAACAUAACAUUCAGGGAUAUAAUUUCUAAUUAGUGGGGUAAUAGCUGCUUGAUCCAAGGAGACAUCUGACUGCUAUUUUGGGGUCAAGAAGGAAUUUUUUCCUAGUUUGUGGCAAAAUUUGAAGCGAUUCAGACUAGGUUUUUUGCCUUCUUUUGGAUCAACAGCAACAACAUAUGUGAGGAAGGCUGAACUUGAUGGACACAAGUUUCUUUUCAGCUAUAUAACUAUGUAACUAUGUCAUUACACACAGAACCACCCCAUGUGCCCCUAACACACUACUUGUUGACUUUUAGUUUGUUUGAUAAAAAUAAAUAAUGCUUCUGUAUGUGUUUAAUAAGGAAUUCACCCAAUGUACAAAUUAAAAAAACAACAAAGGAUAACAAUUCCUAAAUUGCACGAAAUUAAAUAUGUCCCAAAUGCCUAAACAUCUAACAUGGUUUAAUUAGUUUAAGGUGCAGUUUGUUGACCCAAGUAUGAGAAUAGAUUGAGUAUCAUUACAUUUUAUACCAUUAAAUGACUCAUAAUAUAUCUAACGCUAAUAAUUAAUCAAAGUGCGAGUCUUUGUGUAAACCCUCAUCCUUACUCUGCAUUAAGUUUGUGAGUUGGCUUGAAAACUGCCUAGUUCUAGUCAAUGAAGAAUAAGAUGAAUGUGACUGAAAUAAAAAUCAAUAUAAAAUGUAUAAAUGUAGUUAAAUUAAUGUUAGCAUUGUCUAUAUACAUUACUGUAUGCAUAAACAAUAACAAAAGAGAAAAAAAAUUGUGAUCAAGCAAACUGUGUGAUUUAUAUACUAACUACAGAAAUGCAGUGAACAGAAAACAAAAUCACAAAAUCUAUGCUAAAAGAGCCAAGAUUGUGACCUUGAGAAUUUUUCCAAAUCAGCAUUUUUUGUCUAUAUUUUUCAGUUCAAUUUGCAAUUCACUAUGAAUUGAUGCUUGGUAAAUAAAUUACCAGGAGAUAAUUUGUUUAUUUUGGCUUAUUGUGAGCGAGAAUGUCUAAACUGAGAAUUGUCAGAAAUUCAAUGUCAAUUGAAAGCAAAUUUCACAAUUUAGGCAACAAAUCAAUAAAACAUUUUUUUUUUUAAAUCUCAAGCAAUUUGAAAUUAACUUUCAGUUCACUAUGAAGUCCUGAUGAUUCACACUUACAUGAAAACAGUCUGUUUUCAUGUUUAUAUGUAAAUAUAUUUUACUUUUUCCACUAGAGGGAGCACAACAAUGUUUUGUUCUUAUGACUGCAGAUCAAAUAAAAGUUCACAUUUCCAUUCAUUUUUACCUGAAAAGAAAAAGAAAUGCCAAAAUUAUUUUUGAAAUAGAAAUACUUAUUUAUAAUAUGAUGUCCAAAAAUUUUAAAAUGUGAAACAACAACAUAUAUAUAUAUAUAUAUACUCAUGGAAGAGGGCAUUGGGUAUGAGGUGGACAGGUGGUGUGGCCAUUAAUGCUGAAUAAAGGGGCACUAAUAGGUACCCAGACUACUACAUCUCAAUAAAGUGGUCUAGGUGCCAUUUCCCUGUAGAUUUAAGCCUGCAGCUGCUAACAUUGCCGUUCUGAAGAAUGCCUCUGGUGGCUGUCACCUACAAAGCACAACGGUGUGGAAGGAAAGCUAAGUGAAAUACCUUUUCAUGUGCUAGGAGAGGUUGGGAGGCAGUCACCUUAAUGGCUAAAGGACACUAUAGCGUUAGGAAUACAUAUCUGUUCCUUAUAGUUCUAUAGGGUUCCUUAAAGGGACACCAUAGCCACCAGAACAACUACAGCUUAAUGUAGUUGUUUUGGUGAGUAUAAUCAUUAUAUGCAAUCAUUUUCAUGCAAACACUGUGUUUUCAGAUGGCCACUGAAGGUGCUUCCUGGCUCAGUGCUGCACAGUAGGCAGCACUGCCAUUCAGCGUCUCCACGCUCUGCAUGGGGACGCUGAAUUUUCCUCAUAGAGAUGCAUUAAUUCAGUGCAUCUCUAUGAGGAGGUGCUGAGUGGACAAAACAGCAUUUGAUCCUGCCCUUUGUCGCUUUUAGCCAAUCCAAUGCUUUCCCAAUGGUAAUGGGAAAGCAUUGGAUUGGCUAAAAAUCGGCAAUUCUAAAGAUGUAACCAAGGGGGCGGGGUCAUCGCCGACGGACCCGCAUAUUGCUGGAAUUAAGCUGAGUUUUAAUUGCUUUUAAGGGGGCUAAGGGCGGGCAAGAAACCUAAUGGUGGGUUUUGCACUAAAAGGUCAGAAGACUACAAGUUGUAAGGUCACAAGCUUGUAUUUGAUGAGUCAAAAUGCUUACUUUAGGCACAAGAGAAUUGUAUCAUCUAGUGAACCUUUGCCACUCAAGUGCAGUCUUAGGAAUUACUUUUCCUUUGGGUAACUCCAACAGUUUACUGUACUGUACACAUUAUGCAAUAAAAAGAAGUCAAUAGUAGAAAAGAGGGAUUUUACAAUGAUACAGAUGGUAAAGAGAAAAAACUAAUUUGAUCAACUAUACAUUUGACUAAUUCUGUUAUAUUACUAAAGGAAUGGGGAAUGUUAACAAAUAAAAUGUUGUUGCAAUGUACUGAAAACUCGGACCUGCGACCCCUCUGCAUUUCAGUGCCAGAAGGCAAGUAAUCUGCAGUGCACUAUAUUUGCUGUUGCAGAUGUGUGUUUAAAUCACACCACCUUAGGGUUUCCACUUUAUUUGUAUCUUGUUAGCUGUUCUGGUGUACCCGAUCUUUACAAAGCAUCUUCCCUAGACGGUAAAUUAUUAGAAGUACGGCAUUACAUUGUUACUAUGCCAACAAAGUUUUGUUUUGAUCUAGUGAAGAAUUUGUAACACUUCUUAGUCAAGUUAUUGCUUUCUAGGUGGGCUCGCUGUGACCAAUAAUUACUGCACAGUCCAUGCUGCACAGACGCUUAGAAUGGUGUAGGUUUUGCAUGCCAGCAAUUUAUAUGUAACAGGGAUAUCCUUACCUAGUGCUUUGGUUUUGCAGCUUCAUUUUGCCAUAUUUAGUUUAUUUAAUAUGUUAUAUGUUGUUUUAUGCAUAUGUGUAUUCUGACCAUGUCACUGCCGCUACCCAUAUUCAUGUUUUUUACGCCCUCUUAGGUGUUGCGGCCGUCACCAUGGGGAUGAGAGUGAACUAAGCUGUACGCCAAAGCUGCCGUCCAGAAAAAUUACUUUACUUCUCUCUACACAGUGGCUGUACUAAAUAGCCCGUCAAUUUCCAGCAGUGGUGUAAAAGGGGGGGGAGGGGAGUACUUAACUUUUGUGUCAUCUAUUAUUUGCUAUAUAAGCACUGUCUGUUUAGUUAGUUUUUUUGCACUGAUGAAAGUUUUGUUUGUAAACUAAAGCAUCUUCCUUAUUAUUUUUUGCAAAAGCGCG